AGAAAUCAAUGAAAGGAUUUUCAUGUGUUCUAAUUAAUUUCUCAAACAACAAUUUUAGUCUAAAGCGUGUGCCGAAAGUAAUAAUGAAGAAUGAUUUUGGUCUUUAGUGUAGAAAAGACAUGGUCUAUUUGAUGUUGACAAAAGCUAGCUUCAAUAAUCUACACAUCAAAGAAAGGAUUUCAUAUGUAUCGGAGGGUUUAUCUUUUAUAAUUAAUCACCAGCCAAAUUUUAUACAGUUAAACUUCAUAGUAGAUAAAUUAGGACCAUUCUAUUUAUCAAUUAAUUUUAAGCCAACAAUAUCAAUCGAUUAUUCUUCUGGAAGUGGGGCGGAUUACCAAAUAACAUAGAGUCUUUAACAGCAAAUAAGGAAGGAAAUCAGUCACUGAUUUGAAUUGAAUUACUUACUAUAACCACUUUCGGGCUUUGUUUUACAGUUACAGAGCAUCACUGCCUAUGCGUAUAUUUAUCUAUAUACAAUGUUAUUAAUUACUGCAGCAUCGUCAUCACAAAAGCGAAAAGCUUCUAAGCGACAAUAUUCUACUUGCAAAUUUCCAUCAUCAUUUAGAGUAAUUAAAAUAAUUAAUUGGAAAAAAAAAAGAAAAGAAAGAAAGAAACAAUCGAACAGGCAGAGGCAAAGGGUUUCAUUUCUCGUAUUUAGACAAUGAUAAAUUAAUAAUAAUAUGAGCAAAUCUUGAGAUAUGAUAUGAACGAAAAAGAAGGUUGACAUUGAAGAUAAAGAGAUCACCAUCAAAUGAUAGUCAAACAGCAUAUUAAAGAUGAUCGGUUACUACUUACCUUCUUCAUAGAAGCCUUCUCUACCAGCGUUUUCACGAACAUUUUUGCAACAAAAAUCUCCAGGGAAAACCAAUCACUUCAACUGAAGAUCCAAAACGGCAGUUUCAGAAUUUUAUUCAUUUUUAGGGAAAAAUGAAUAAAAUAUUCUUUUGGAAUAAAGAAAAAGAGCAUAUUCCAAAAUCAAUUUCUACUUAAACUUAUAGUAGUCAUGCAAAAGAGAGAUAGUGAAUGUAUAUCACUGUGCAGAAGUAAACAAAGUAUGCAAGCAUGAUGAAAUAAAGAUCAUGAUAUGUGCCUAUGAGAUUAUUAUAGAACGAACCUGCCAUAAAAAAUGAUGCAGAGACUAACCCGGAAGAAAAGGCCACCUAAGAUGUGAAUUUGCUGUUAUUUGAUUCAACUCUUCGGCAUGGCUCUUGAGGUUUGAAUCAGCCUAUGGCAGGCAAGUGAGCAAGAUAGCUUGAUGCCCUUAUCAACAUUCUUUUUCCAUGAAUCUGAAUCUUUCUGUCGAACAACAUUAAUAAGAAUGCACAUAGAAGUAAUACGGUAUUGCAUGUUAUAAAGGAAAUUAUUAAUUUUGUAAAGUACCUUAGCAAUUCUGCUUUUGCUAACUUUGUUACUGUCUAGACUGCACUCUGUUCCACAGUCGAAAUCAUUCUGCAUUUUGGCACAAUUCCAACGCAUCUUCUAUUUAACAAAAAAGAAAAAAUAAGAAUCAACCAUUGUCAAUUCUUAUCAACAAAGUCUUCAAAUUGACAUUGCGGUCUCUGUUGUUUAAAGGGGAAAAAAAUCGAUAGUUGUGAAUUCUUAUCAACCAAAAUUAAACAUGGGGGUGGAGAAAAGAAAAAUAAAAAUCAAAUGUUGAAUCCUCUUGAUUGUAUCAUGGAUAAAUCUGAUUUAGAUCUGAGUCCAUAUUUUAAGAGAUUCAUCGACCCAUUUUCAGACAUGCCAGGAAUUGUAAAUUAAGUCAAAUAUUCACAAAAAACAGAUUCUGUGUUCAGCCGCAAAUGGGCUAUUUCACGGCCAAGCAAGAAAACAAAUGAAGAAAAUUAAUUGCUUUCCACUGGUUCAAGAAUUAAUACCAUGAUUGAUUGCUUCUCUUUUGGAAGAAAUAAUUUUGAAUAAAACACAGCAUCAUUACAAAAAAUGCGAUGAUAUUUUUUCAAUAAUCAGAUGAUGAUAAUUUCUCCAUACAUUCAUUCUACGGCCUGACUCUGUUUUAUGUCUAAGGCUAAUGUGGUGCACUUGCAGCAAGAUAACCAAACCGGUAUGUGUUGGGAAAAUAUGCUCUUUAAAAGCAUAUAUGUUUAUUUAAUUGUAAUAAACUAUUUUUCUGAUUAAUAAAAUAAAUGAGGUAUUUUAUUCAAAUAUCUUAAUUGCAUUAAUACUUGUAUUAAAGUCCAUUUAAUCAUAUUAUAUGUAUUUAUGUGAUUACCAUGUGGAUUCACAGAAGACAUAAAUACAUGUUAUCUUAUGAUUAAAUAAAUUUAGUUCGCAGUUGAUAAAUAAAGUUGGGCACUUUAUUUAGGUAUAGACUGUAAUAAAUUCAUUGAAUGAUUUGUCUUAAUCAUGUAUGAAUUUAUUGAUGUAGUACGACUACAUUGAACAGGAUCACAUAUGAGAUUUAAUUAACUUUGUAAUAACUGUCAGACUUAUUAAAUCUCAUAGGCGUUGAUUUUACUGUAAUCUUAAUCUUGAGUUAAUUAUGAUUUCAUGAUUGUAAUUGUUAUUCCAUUUGAGUUACCAAUGGGCACGACACAUCCUUGUGGUCAAGAUUACCCGGUAUCUUGGUGGGAGCAAUUAUGAGUAUUGGAGUUAUAGAUUAACAAUAUAGAAUUUGUACAACACAUCUCUUCAUGGGUUUUCGGCACUUGAUCAUGGAAUUCUCUGGCCAGAGUGUGUCAACAUAUUUAGUAUGUUGAAAAUGAUCAUUAGAGAAAACCAGUAAGGAUCAAGGAAUAAGAUGUUAUUAAAUUGAUUGGACAGUUGAGAUAUCAAUUUAAUUAACGAUGUGGUACAAAGGAUUGUGCAGUAAAGAAAUCAAUGUGGCUUGGGACGAAUUAUUAUUCGAGCAUACAAUUAUGGAAGUCAGUUCCAAUCUUUUAGUGGAGUAGAUUUGGAAUUAAAUAAUUGGGCUAGUUUAAUUACAGGCCUAAUUAUUGUAGCCACUAUUGUAUGUUCCCAAAUGAUCCCCGGGUUAGCUCAUUUAAUUGACUGCACCACUACUGGACUAAUAAGUAAGAUAACUAGCUAUUUGGGUCAAAAGCCUAAAUAUAUCAUUUAGUGGGAGGCUCCAUUUAAUUAGCUUUUGUAUAAGGGGCCUUAUGUUAUUUUACAAGGUGGGUCCCCUAUUGAAAAAGCAAAUAAACGUGGGUUUUGUUUUUCAUUUAUUUGAAGCCUAGGGUUUUCACUAAAGGGUGAUAUAAAAGGCUUAUUUUUCCCUAAAGAAAAAGUGAGAAGCCACUUUAUACAGAUCAGAGAAAAAGAUUUUUCUCUCUAUUGUUGAGAGAAAAAUUUUCUCGUGCUAGUUGCUUUGGUAGUGAUAAAGGCGCCCACACGUCAAGUGCAGAUCGAACCUGAGUCAUAACCUGGAAGAUCAUUGGAGACUGUUCGUGAUCUAACAAGCGUGGUGGUGACGGAUCGUGAUCUAACAGGAGCGGUGGUGGCGGAUCGUGAUCUAGGAGCCUAAAACACUUCAGCGGAAAAAGCCAACUCGGAUUUUCAAGGUACGAUUUCUAGAAUACAAAUUCUUAUAUAUUAUAUGAGAGCGAUCUUCAAAAGGUUUUAUAAAAAAUUAAAAACCUAAUUUUUCCCCAACAAUUGGUAUCAGAGCCAUCUCAUAUUAAUAUAUAAGAAUUUCGUAUGAAAUUAAUCUUGAAAUUUAUGUAUUAGAGUGGCACAUUUUAUUCAGAUAUAUAUUAUUUGUUUAAUAUAUGAAUAAAGCAUGUUAUGGUUUGUCUUAAUUCAUGGUUAGAUGUUCUACUGUAUUUUUCGUUUGGAUCUGUAACAAGAGGGGUGGCUUAUUAUCACCAUGUUUCCCUCUUGAUUUAUUGUAAUGUAAUUAAAAUUUUGUAAGCCAAAAUUAGCAUCGGAUUAUUGUAAAUCACUGGAAAAUUGCGGAAACUUGCUGGAACCUGCAGCAACGAACCAGCACACGCAGCAGCGAGCGGCCACCAGCACACGCUGCUGCACGAGCAGCGCGCGGCCAGCAGCACAUGCUGCCAGCAGCGCGCGUUGCACACGCAGCGGCCAGCAGCCACGCUGCAAGCAGCUCGCGCUGCACAUGCAGCAACUGCAGCGCGCGUUGCAACGCUGCAAGCAGCGCUACCUGCAGCGAGCGAGCAGCAGCUGCAGCGCCCAAGCAGCAGCGCGAACGUGGGCUGGAGGCGCGGAGCGUUUUGGUUGACGUCUUUCCGGCGUUAAUGACGGCUGUCCGGUGUGGAAACAGUGAACAGCGGCUGGAUUUUUUUGGAGAUGGCGGCUGGGGAAGAGAGGAAGAAAAAUAUGGAUUUAGGGUUACAUGGUUUUUAUCAUGGAAGUCCCUAUGGUUCCAUAAUUUUUCAUUUGAGCAGAAAGUUUUUUAAUUUUUUGCAUUUAAAUCCAAAAACAGUUUUGGGUUUAAUGAAUCCUAGUUUUAGGCCCAAUUUCAAUUGGGCUUAAUGGAUUAAAAAUGCAUAGACAAAAUUAAAUACAUUAAAUUUAUUUUUGGUCCAAAAGCUUUAUUUUAAAAAAAAAUAAAAUAAAAUAAAACUAUUUAUUUAUUUAUUUCCUUUCAAAAUUAAAAUUGGACCAAUUAUAAAUUUAAAAGCCCAAUUUCCCCUAGUCCAUUAACAAAAACAAGCUUAUGGAAGAUGGACAUUGACAAGAAGCCCAAUGAAGAUUAGGCUUAGGGUUAAUGUAUUUUUCAUUAUUAGGAAAGCCAUGAAUUAAGAUUAUUUAAUUAUUUUUCUAUAUGUUAUGUUUUGGAUGAUAACAUGCCAUGAUAACAUGUCAUAUAGAAUAGGUAGUGUCACUCUAUGCAUAAUGAUACAUGUCAUUCAUUAAAUAAUGAAUUUCAUUAUAUUGUUUGAAAUUUGCAUUUGCUUAAUAAUAUUUGAUAUCAUCUAGAUAAUAUUAUAGGAAGCAUGCAAUUAACAAUAUGUAUGUUUUAAAAAGGAAAAAUCAAUUUUAAAAUAUUGAGUGGGAGAGGGAAAAUUCAAGAUAAUUUUUCCCACGGGCUCCAUUGUUAGUUCAAUAAUAAAAUUAUAUAUAUACCUCAACUUCAUGAUACGGUGAUGCUCCCUACGGAGGGUAUAUAUAUUGGAUAUUUUAUUUGAUGAACUUCUUCAAAGAUAAAAUUGAAAUAUUUUUUCAAUCGAUUGCUCGCCCCAACGGUGACUAUUGAUAUGAAAAAUACGUAGAUUGAAACAAUGGUUAUACACUCAACUAAAGUUUGUUAUUAACCUUCCCAACGAAGCUCUGUUAACAAAUUUAGGCCCAAAGGGAUAACGAUAAUUAUUUAUCAUGUCUCUACAUGAAAGUAAAUAAUCUAAUGGAUAAUUGGGUCUAGUAAGUGUAGACAUGACUUCCCCAACGGAUAGCUUGUCAAAGCGGUACUAGAUUAUCGUUACAAUAAAUUAAAAUGCAUUUAUGGUUUUUUGUAUUUUUGUCAUUUAUUGUGAAUAUUGUUUCAAAGUAUUUAUGCAUGUCUAUUUUGUUUUUUCAGAAAAUGUCUUCCAUCAACCCAUUAUUAAUUAUUCUUGUUAAAAAUGAACUCACUGGCGAAAAUUAUUUAGAUUGGAAACGCAAUCUAUUUAAUAUUCUCACUGCUAAGGGAAGCAAAUAUGUUUUGACUCAGCCUUGCCCUCCUGAACCAUCGUUAUACGAUUAUAGAAAUCAGAGGGAGCCUUAUGAGAAAUGGUGCGAAGCUAACAAAAUGGCUAAGCGCUAUAUAUUGGCUUCGAUUUCUGUGGAACUGCAUAAGAAACAUCGGAGCAUGGAAACAGCCACUGAAAUAAUGGCUAGUCUUCAUCAGAUGUUUGGGUAAAAUACCCAUUUUUCUAGAGAAGCAGCAUUGAAACGUAUUACGGAUACUAAGAUGGAAGAGGGCACAAAAGUUCGUGAUCAUGUCCUCAAAAUGAUGGACUAUUUGAAUGAGGUAGAGAUUCAUGGUGUUCAAAUCAAUGAUAAAUCAAAGAUUAACAUGGUGAUUGAAUCUUUACCUGAUACAUUCAAAGAGUUUAAGGUCAGUUAUAUCUUAAACAAUAAAGAUAUGACCUUAAUUGAAUUAAUGCACGAACUACAUGCUAUAGAAGAAUUCUAUCAUAGCAGAAAACUUCCUGAAAAAGGAUUCUCUUCAAGGCUUAAGUCGAAAGACAAGAAUGAGCAAGCAAGAGUUGGGAUCGGCAAACUGUCCACUAAAAGAAGUGGCAAGCCAAAAGGCAAGUGUUACAAAUGUGGACAGAAGGGUCGCUGGAAGAAAGAUUGUCCUAAGAUUAUUAAAAUCAGGUAUAGGAAAUCUUUAAGCUUCCUAAUUAGUUCAGAUUUCUAUUGCAUCAUACAAUAAUGAAUUCUGAGAUAACUAAUCUUAUUUGUAAUUCAUUUAUUUGGUUUUCAGGAAACCAAGAGAUUAAGUGAAGAAAGUAUCAAACAGCAGUUGAGGACAUGCUAGUUUAUAUUAAUUGAAAGACUAGAUCAAUUUUACAAGACUUUAGUUUUGAUAUUUGUCUUUAUAUUAGAGGAAUUUAAUUUCGGUGGCUUGUUUUAAUAAACAGGAGUACACUGUUAUUUUUUGGAUCCUCUAUUUAUUAUUUAUUUUGGUUAUUUAUAAAGACAAUUUAUAUCAUAGAAGUCCAUUGAUCUAUUCAAAGUAAGAUAUAAUGAUAAAAAGUAUAUGCAUUUAUCUAAGAAAAGAAAUGUUUCUUCUAACCAAAAAUCACCUCUGAUAUUUAUGCCUAAGUCAUAUAAACUAUAAUAAGAUUUUAAGAAAAUGAUUAAUGAUAGACUUGUUGGCCUAUUAAGAUUGAUCAUUGUAACUCCAUAAAUCUUAUUUAGAAAAGUAAUAUGACAAGGAUGCUCUUUUUGAGCUAAAAGCAUAACUAUGUAUUUGAUGAUUUAGCGCAUACAAAUGUAUACGGACUAAUCAGUUUACAUGUUAUAAGGGGUUAUGAGUAUUCUAUCAAUCUUGUUGAUGAAUAUUCAUUUUAUUUAUGUUUGUCUAAAUGCGUCAUGAUUCCAUUGCUUUUGAAAUUCAAAAGAGUACGUGGAUAAGACAGAAGCAAUUAGACAGGAACAUAAAAGAACUUCGAUAUGAUCGAAACAAAGAAUAUCUCUAUGGAGAAUUCAAGCACUAUUUGGUUGUCAAUGAACACUAUAAUACAAUAGUGUAAUUAAAUGAAGAAACAAGAUUCUUUUGGAUAAGACAAGAUAUAUACUAAGUGGUUUAUCAUUUACCUUUUUUGAUUCCAGAUAUUAGUAUUUAAAACUACAAAGUUUAUUGAACUUAGUUUCAUCUAUCUCGGUGUCUACUACUCCAAGAAAUUAUGAAAAAGUCACAAACAUGGUUUGAGACACAUUCAUAUUUGGAGUUUACUAGUAUUUCUACUAGAAUCAGAGAUAGACAAGAUGGAUUCGUGUUCAGAAGCUUGCAUGUUUUAGGUAUCUUAAAGGAAUAAGGGAAAGUCUGAAUUAUAGUCCUCAAGAUAGGAAUGUAUUUAUAGAAAUAUUCUUUACUUUCUUUGAGGAAGACUCUAUAAUGACUUAUAACCUAAGAGUAAGGUAAAACUAGAGAAAUAAAAGAGAUCAGGUUGAUGCUCAGCUUUCAACACCUGUUAUAGAACAGGAAGAACAGCAACAACCAGCUGAUCAGCACAGGAUUAUCCUUGAACAACCAUCACUUUUAGAACCUUGUCGUAGUGGGAGGGUAACUAGGUUACCUGCGAGAUACAUAUUUUUGGGAGAAACCUAUAUGGCUAUCUUAGAUGAACAUGUACAAAAUCCCACUAGUUACAACGAAGCUCUAAUAGAUAGAAAUGUUAAAUUUUGGAAAAAGGCCAAGAACACAUGGUAUGUAAGUUGCAGAGAUCCAUUUAUAGAUUGAAGCAAGCAUCCCGGUCAUGGAACAUCAGAUUUGAUCAAGCGAUUAAAUCACUUGGAUUCAUUCAGAACAUUGAUGAACCAUGUGUGUACAAGAAAAUUCAGGGAAAAUUUGUAGCCUUCCUAAUUCUUUGUGUAGACAAUAUUCUUCUGAUUGGAAACGAUAUAGGAGUAUUGACUACAAUAAAGAUUUUGUUAGCAAAAUAAUUUGAUAUGAAUGACCUGGGGGAGGCAAGUUAUAUUCUUGGUAUCAAGUUACUACGAGACCGGAAGAAUAAAACUUUAGCAUAGAUAGAAAUGUUAAAUUUUGGAAAAAGGCCAAGAACACAUGGUAUGUAAGUUGCAGAGAUCCAUUUAUAGAUUGAAGCAAGCAUCCCGGUCAUGGAACAUCAGAUUUGAUCAAGCGAUUAAAUCACUUGGAUUCAUUCAGAACAUUGAUGAACCAUGUGUGUACAAGAAAAUUCAGGGAAAAUUUGUAGCCUUCCUAAUUCUUUGUGUAGACAAUAUUCUUCUGAUUGGAAACGAUAUAGGAGUAUUGACUACAAUAAAGAUUUUGUUAGCAAAAUAAUUUGAUAUGAAUGACCUGGGGGAGGCAAGUUAUAUUCUUGGUAUCAAGUUACUACGAGACCGGAAGAAUAAAACUUUAGCCUUGUCUCAAGCGGUCUAUAUCGAUAAGAUAUUGGCUAGAUUUAGCAUGGAAAAUUCCAAGACUGGUUUAUUACCAUUCAGACAUGGAAUUACAUUCUCUAAGGAUCAAUCACCUAAAACAUCUGAAGAGAUAGAGAGAAAGAGACGAGUUCCCUAUGCAGACGCUGUGGGAAGUCUCGUGUAUGCCAUGCUUUGCACUAGGCCAGACAUCUGUUUUGCGGUAGGGAUGGUUAGCAGAUAUCAAUUUAAUCCUGGAUCUCUAUACUGGACUGCAGUCAAGCAUAUUAUAAAGUAUCUGAAAAGAACUAAAAAUUAUAUGCUUGUGUAUUCUGGUGAUGAACUCAUUCCAGUGGGUUAUACUGAUUCUGACUUUAUGUUAGAUAAGGAUUCCAGAAAAUCAACUUCCGGCUAUGUGUUUACAUUGGGAAGUGGAGCUAUUAGUUGGAUGAGUGUGAAACAAUCUUGUAUCACAGACUUAAUAACUAAAGCUGAAUAUGUGGCUACAUCUGAAGCUGCAAAAGAAGCUAUAUGGCUCCGCAAGUUCCUACGAAAUCUUGAGGUGGUACCUAUUGUAACUACACCCCUUAAACUAUUUAUGUGAUAAUGGUGGUGCAGUAGCUCAAUCUAAGGAACCAAGGAACCACAAGAAACAAAACAUAUUGAAAGGAAGUAUCAUCUUAUAAGGGAAUAAUGUAGAAAGGUUAUAUGACAAUACCCCAAAUGGCAUUAGAUGCUAAAUGGCAGAUCUUAUUACAAUGGCCAUUAGUGGGAAACCUUUAUAACCUGCACUUAGAGCCCUAGAGCAUGUGCAAUAUGCCAGAUAUGCUUUGAGAGCUAGUAGGAGAUUGUUGGGAAAAUAUGCUCUUUAAAAGCAUAUGUGUUUAUUUAAUUGUAAUAAACUAUUUUUCUGAUUAAUAAAAUAAAUGAGGUAUUUUAUUCAAAUAUCUUAAUUGCAUUAAUACUUGUAUUAAAGUCCAUUUAAUCAUAUUAUAUGUAUUUAUGUGAUUACCAUGUGGAUUCACAGAAAACAUAAAUACAAAUUAUCUUAUGAUUAAAUAAAUUUAGUUCGCAGUUGAUAAAUAAAGUUGGGCACUUUAUUUAGGUAUAGACUGUAAUAAAUUCAUUGAAUGAUUUGUCUUAAUCAUGUAUGAAUUUAUUGAUGUAGUACGACUACAUUGAACAGGAUCACAUAUGAGAUUUAAUUAACUUUGUAAUAACUGUCAGACUUAUUAAAUCUCAUAGGCGUUGAUUUUACUGUAAUCUUAAUCUUGAGUUAAUUAUGAUUUCAUGAUUGUAAUUGUUAUUCCAUUUGAGUUACCAAUGGGCACGACACAUCCUUGUGGUCAAGAUUACCCGGUAUCUUGGUGGGAGCAAUUAUGAGUAUUGGAGUUAUAGAUUAACAAUAUAGAAUUUGUACAACACAUCUCUUCAUGGGUUUUCGGCACUUGAUCAUGGAAUUCUCUGGCCAGAGUGUGUCAACAUAUUUAGUAUGUUGAAAAUGAUCAUUAGAGAAAACCAGUAAGGAUCAAGGAAUAAGAUGUUAUUAAAUUGAUUGGACAGUUGAGAUAUCAAUUUAAUUAACGAUGUGGUACAAAGGAUUGUGCAGUAAAGAAAUCAAUGUGGCUUGGGACGAAUUAUUAUUCGAGCAUACAAUUAUGGAAGUCAGUUCCAAUCUUUUAGUGGAGUAGAUUUGGAAUUAAAUAAUUGGGCUAGUUUAAUUACAGGCCUAAUUAUUGUAGCCACUAUUGUAUGUUCCCAAAUGAUCCCCGGGUUAGCUCAUUUAAUUGACUGCACCACUACUGGACUAAUAAGUAAGAUAACUAGCUAUUUGGGUCAAAAGCCUAAAUAUAUCAUUUAGUGGGAGGCUCCAUUUAAUUAGCUUUUGUAUAAGGGGCCUUAUGUUAUUUUACAAGGUGGGUCCCCUAUUGAAAAAGCAAAUAAACGUGGGUUUUGUUUUUCAUUUAUUUGAAGCCUAGGGUUUUCACUAAAGGGUGAUAUAAAAGGCUUAUUUUUCCCUAAAGAAAAAGUGAGAAGCCACUUUAUACAGAUCAGAGAAAAAGAUUUUUCUCUCUAUUGUUGAGAGAAAAAUUUUCUCGUGCUAGUUGCUUUGGUAGUGAUAAAGGCGCCCACACGUCAAGUGCAGAUCGAACCUGAGUCAUAACCUGGAAGAUCAUUGGAGACUGUUCGUGAUCUAACAAGCGUGGUGGUGACGGAUCGUGAUCUAACAGGAGCGGUGGUGGCGGAUCGUGAUCUAGGAGCCUAAAACACUUCAGCGGAAAAAGCCAACUCGGAUUUUCAAGGUACGAUUUCUAGAAUACAAAUUCUUAUAUAUUAUAUGAGAGCGAUCUUCAAAAGGUUUUAUAAAAAAUUAAAAACCUAAUUUUUCCCCAACACAUGCAGCAAUAAAUAAUCAAAUUCUGUCCUGUAUAUUUUUAUUUAGAAAAUUGCAAAAAAGCUAGUCGCUAGAAAAAAGUAAUUAAUUAAGUAAACACUGGCUUUGCACUUUGCACUGUGUUUGCGGUAAACUUUUGUUAAAGACAAGUAUACAUAAACUACCAAGGCACUGAAAAUAUGAAAUCAAAACAAUAUAUUGAAUCAAAACAAUACAUGUCUAUAGCGAAGGAAUCUCAAAAUCUGCUCACUAGCUAUGGCUCGUGUAGAACAAACCUUCACAAACUGACCUUGUUGGUUGAUUGCUUUUGCUUGGCAAAUCAUAGAGUUGAUGCAACACAUCAGGUGGGAUGCACGUUCCUUCAUGGGCAUAUUAUCGAACACGUCCUAGGCAUGAGAAUUAUACCAUAAUUCCCCAACAACUCCCCUCUUCAGCUGGGCCUGCAAAUUCCAUAUAAUCAUUCCAUUGUCUAUUUUUCGUUCGUUCUGAACCUAAAUCAAGCUUGCCAAUUCAUCUGAUCAUAUUCAUAUAGAUAUUUGUCUGUCUUCCUAAAAUUCAACAUUUGUCCACCAAGUAUUAGACCCAUAAAAAUUCAGAGAGGAAAUGACAAGGAAGAGGGUGAGCUCAAUAGACAGUCUCUACCUCAGACCCUGUGUUUUUUUCCAGCUGCCGCUAAUUGCUAAACACGGUUAAGAAACUUGCACACCAAUCUGGACAGCUCAUCAAUGCCACGUCACUACCCCUUAAACUGAUUUUUAACAGAUUUUUCAAUAAAUAGAAUGCAAAUGAAAUAACAUUUGAAUGCAUGGUUAGUGACAAAUUCAGAUAAUAGUAGGUAUGUAUUUGAGUUCAUCUUUGAGGUUGUGGUUCCUCAUCACCACAGCAGCCAUUCCACUGGCUUCUGUACCAAAAACAUAUUUAAUUUAUUUAUAUUAAUAAUAUAUUUAUAUUGAUUUUUAAAGUUGAUUAUUGAGGGAUUAGAAACACUUAAUACAUCCCAUCAUCAUCAUCAACAACAACAACAACAACAACAACAACAACAAAGAAAGAAAGAAAAGACUCAAGAGUAUUUGCAAAAGAUAAUUAUAAAGAGCGACUAUGGUCAACGGUGGAGAAUGGAAUCAAAGACAUUGUCAAAGGUAGCAAAAGCUUCGAUAAUCUAAACACAGAGACUUUUCUUCAAGUAUAGUUAAAUAAUAAAAUAAUAAUUUAGAUUACUUAAUGAAACAAUAAGUAUUUAUGAUAAAUAAGAUACAUGGAAUAAACUAACCUCUCCGCUUAUCAUUUUCUCUAUUGUGUUUUUUUUUUCCUCUGUCUCUCCUUCUUGUUGUUUAGUAGAUGACACAACAUUUCAUUUUGUUUAUUCAAUUUGCUAUUGGAGCAUCUUUCAGGAAAGUACAGAAAUGUAAAUAUACAGCUAAUAUUAUAUUUAUGAAUUAUUUAUAUGUACAGUACAUACUAAGUAACUAAAAUAAGACAAAUGAAAUAAUAAAAAUAAAAAUAUAAAUUAGAUAAGAUCAAAAAUAUCAUAUGAUCAAUCUCUUUCAUCACCAACAUCUAAAACAUUAUUGCUGUAACGUUAUACAUUAUGUACGAAACAGGAAUGUAAGCACAGUAGUAAUAUAAUGUUAUACAUAUCAAAAUUAUGUCUACAAAUAAAAAGUAAAUUGAAAAAAGAUUAGUGAAAUAAUAAAAAAUAUAAAUAUAAAUGAUAGAUCAAAUAUAUCAUAUGAUCCUAAUUUAAUAAAUCAAUAAUGCCUUAGUAGACAAUAUAGUUUAUGGUAGAGAAUAUUACUUAUCCUCUUAACAUUGUUUGCUCAAUAAUCUUUACUUUUGAUCCAAGCAUCUUUGAUCCAAAAAUUGGUAGAGAAUAUUACUUAUUAACGUUAUAAAUCCAUCCGCAAUUAAUAAAGGAUCACAGCAUAUUCAAAAAGCAAUUAAUUUCUAUUUAGAUUUUUAGUACUCAUGCGAAAUAGAGAAACAAGAUAUGUGCGUAUGAAAUUAUUAUGGAUUACAAGCUACUCGAUCAAAACUCGGAAUCAAAUAAUUGAAUGGGUGUCGAGCACGCUUGUGGAAAGAGUCACGGCACGAGCUCCCCUUCAUCAUCUCUAAAAAACCACACUUCAAAUAAAAAUAUUUUUUUUUCCUGCAAAUUACUUGCAUUCAUAACCAACUAUUUUUUUUAAUAGUUAUCAUUCAUGACUUCCUCUCUAUCCAAAAUAAAUUUGCUUAAAUUUAAAAUAUUAAAUUAUUCUUUUUCUAAUUUUUAUUGAUUGAACCUUAUUUUUAAAUUAAGAUUACUUUCAAAUUAUAAUUUGGAAUAUGUGUAAUGAAGUCCUAAUUAUAAUUUAAUAAGUCAUAAUUAUAAUUUAAAGUAUUUGUAAUUUAAGUCAAUGAUUUAUAUUAAAAAAUUCAUCACUGAUAAUUUGUAUAUAGGAUAGAUUGCAAAUUAACAAGAAUGUUAAAGAAAAGAAAAAUUAGAAGAGUGUAUUAAGAAAAAGGAUGUUUUUGGAAUUAAAAGUAAGAAUAACUAAAAAGAGAGAGAGAGAGAAGGUUUCAUGACAAUAUUAGAGGGGUGGCACUAGUCCAGCUCCAUACAUAGAAAUUACAAAGAAUCAACAAGAUAAUAACAAAAACACAUCCCAUACUCACAAUAUCCAAUUAGAGGGGCACCAAAUUUUUUUUGGCGAAAAUCCUCCAAUGCUCAAGUCAGUAAUUGGGUCUCUUUUAGAAAAACUUGUAUCACAAACUCAUGGCUUAAUUAUAUCAAUUGAAAGUUAGAAAUCUUAAUUCUCAAAAGAAGAAAAAUAAAUGGAGAGAAUUAUCGAGAGAGAAAAAGUCAAAGAGAGAGAAAAUAUGGAAAUAAAAAAAAAAUUGUCCAGCCCUUUUUACCUCCCAUUCUCCGUAGCUUUUAUACCCAACCUGAACCAUCGACUCCAUCUUCCCCACGAUUACUGUUGGCUUGGAAGUGAAAAGCGUGCUGUGUCUUUGAAAUCAUGGGUCAAUGGACAAUGUAACUGCCGCUGAAUGGGCUUUGUGCCCGAGUUUCUUGGAGACAAACUACGUGUUGGCCUUUGAUCAAGCCUUCGAUCUGACUCGAUUUUGGUCUCUCCUCGCAUGCCCUCAGGUCUGCUAUAUAGUACUCGUACGACCAGUAUUCAGAUUUUUUUGAUACAAGCAGUGGUCAAUAGAGUCAACUAAGAUAAAACUUAAAUUUCCCGCCCAAACAAAAACUAACAUACAUAAAGAAUUCGAAUCAUCCUUCAAUAAUAACAUAAAUAGCAACUACUGAGGCUAGUAAUUUGAUCAUUUCUGUAUUUGUCAAUGCAUUAUGGAUUCUAAGACCAGGCUCUAAAAUCAGCAAAUCCAAAAAUUGUUGAUAAUAUUACUUAGUAAGGUUACGAAUCCAUCCACAAGACAGCUGUAAAUAGUCAUAUAUCCUGACAUAUGAACUUUUUAUAUGAUUAAUAAAGGAUAAUAGCAUAUUCAAAAAUCAAUUUCUACUUAAAUUCAUAGUAGUCAUGCAAAAUAGAGAUAGUGAAUGUGUAUAUCACGGUGCAGAAGUAAACAAAGUAUGCAAGCAUGAUAAAACAAAGUUCAUGAUAUGUGCCUAUGAGAUUAUUAUAGAACGAACCUGCUAUAAAAAAAUGAUGCAGUGACUAAGCUGGAAGAAAAGGCCACCUAAGAUGUGAAUUUGCUGUUAUUUGAUUCAACUCUUCGGCAUGGCUCUUGAAGUUUGAAUCAGCCUGUGGCAGGCGAGUGAGCAAGCUGAUAUUGCUGUUGUAGAUAGCUGAAUCUUAUCAACAUUCUUCUUCCAUCUGAAUCUUGAGUGAGCAAGCCUAUGCCCUUAUCAACAUUCUUCUUCCAUGAAUCUGAAUCUUUCGGUCGAAGAUAUUGAUAGGAAUGCACAUAGGAGUAAUACGGUACUGCAUGUUCUAAAGGCAAAUAUUAAUUUUGUAAAGUACCUUAGCGAUUCUGCUUUUGCUAACUUUUUUACUGUCUCCACUGCACUCUGUUCCACAUAGUCGAAAUCAUUCUGCAUUUUGGCCCGAUUCUAACAAGACAAUCUAACUUCCAAGCUUUCAACUUUUCCCAAGGUCUCUGGCACAUUUUUAAGUUUGGAGCAACCACAGAGAUACAACGUUCUAAGAGAUCUCAAACCAUUUAUGGUACUUGGACGACUCUUGAGAUUUUUGCAAUCUUUCAAAUUCAACAAGACAUUGCCAGAAAGAAGUUCAAUAGAUGCUGGCAAUCCUCUUAUAGCAGUUCCUUCCAAAUGAAGCUCCAAGAGCUGAUCCCUGCUUGAAGUUUUCUCUGGGAACUCUCUGAAUUUCAAAGGGCUGGAGAGAUUCAAAGUUGAUAGAUAUUUUACAGCACUUAUUGUCCUUGGAAGACACUCAAGAUUUUUGCAGCCAUUCAGAGUCAACUGCGCAAGUCCAAAUAGAAGUUCAAUUGAUAAUGGCAGUUCUUUAAUAUCAGUUCCAUCCGAAAGAACUUCCCACAAUGUCUAGAAAUUCCUUCAAUUUCCAGCAACCAGAAAGAACACGUGUCUUAAGAGAUUUCAUAAAGAUCUUGCCUGGAAGAGUUGAAAGACUUGUACAACCUUUCAAAUUCAACAGAAUCAGCUUCUUUGAAGCAGAAAAAAUGAGUGAAUCUCCUGCAACCUUGUAAAUCUUUCAGAAAUCAGCUCCCCUAAAUUUGGUACUCUAGUGAAGUCUGAUUGGUCAUAUUAGAAAAGGCUUUAGCACUGACAUGCAUCUCUUUGAUGUUAAAGCGAUCAAAUAUGAUGCUUCAACUACAUCAGUUUCCUAAACACUAUAACAAAAAAUAAGUGGGAACAAAAAAAAAAUGAAACAAAGAAAAUAUUGAUAAAACUAUGCAAAGGUUUAACUAGUUAAAUAAGUGAUCAUGAUCCCAAAAUUGCAAGUUUUCAACCUAACUGAACAUUUACUUGUGCUUUGUGAUAAUACAUGGCAUAUAUCUGCUUUCUCCCACAAUCUAUUGCAGUUUCUAGGCUCCUGAUGGGAUUGCCUCCUAACAAUUUGUCUACCCCAUUUCUUGUAACUACUCAUGCAUCCACAGUCCGCUGAAAUCAUCUACAGUUAAUAGAGAUUUUUCAAUAGGACCAACAAUUUCAAUAAUUGGGUCAAAAUCACAAUAUUUGAGAAUUUUUGUCACAUAAUCUCUGUACUUCCCUUCAUAGAAACAUGCAAGAUCGAGAAAUAUUUUCUUCUCUGUUUCUUUUGACCCAUCAAAACUUAUUUGAAGUACAUCAAGAAUCUCAUUCUCAGGAUCUCCCUAUAGUCAUUGUAGUAUAAUUCUGAAAAUAUUUUCUUCUCUGCUUUGGAAAUUAAUGAUCUUCUUCUUCAUAUUUAUUCUGAAAAUUCAAAAACAUAAAUGAAAAUAAAGAGAACUGCAUGGCAUAAAACUUACAACUUUGAUUAUGUCGCAAGCAGCAUAGUAAUCAAAAUUUUUUAAAUAUCAACUACAUGUCAACGAUGCGGAAUUCCAAGGCAUCUUCUAUUAAACAAAAACAAAUAAUAAGAACCAACAGUUGUCAAUUCUUAUCAACAAAGUCUUCAAAUUGACAUUGUGAUCUGUUGUUUAACGAAAAAAAGGAAAAUCAAUUCCUAUGAACUAAGUCCUCGGACCAAAAUUAAACAUGGAGGUGGAGAAAAGAAAAAUCAAAAUCAAAUGUUGAAUCCUCUUGAUUGUUUCAUGGAUAAAUCUGAUCUAGAUCUGAGUCCAUAUUUAACAUAUUCAUCUACCCAUUUUCAGACAUACCAUGAAUUGUAAAUUAAGCCAAAGAUUCGCAAAAAGCAACAAAGAAACAAAAAACAGAUUCUAUGUUCAGCCACAAAUGGGCUAUUUCACAGCCAAGCACAAUGGUUAAGGAAGAUUGCUAGUAAACAAAUGAAGAAAAUUAAUUGCUUUUCACAGGUUCAAGAAUUAACACUAUUAUUGAUUGCUUCUCUAGUGGAAGAAAUAAUUUUGAAUAAAGCACAGCAUCAUUCCAACAAAUGUGACGAUAUUUUUUUCAUUCAUUCCAUGGCCGGACUCUGUUUUAUGUCUAAAACUCAAGAAAUUCUACAAUUCCUUCUUUCUACCACAUCAUUCACGAAACAACAAAUAAUCAAAUUCUGUCAUGUAUAUUUCUAUUUAGAAAUUUGCAAAAAGGUUAGCCGCUAGAAAAAGAAAAUAAUUGAUUAGAUAAACAUUGGGUUUGCACUGUGUUUGUGGUAAAAUUCUGUUAAAGACUAAAGACUCUCAGAAUCUGCUCACUAGCUAUGACUCAUGCAAGACAAACCUUCACGAAUUGACCUUGUUGAUUGAUUGCUUUUGCUUGGGAAACCAUAGAGUUGAUGCAACACAUCAGGUGGGAUGCACAUUCCUUCGUAGGCAUAUUAUCGAACACGUCCUAGGCACGAGAAUUAUACCAUAAUUCCUCAACAACUCCUCUCUUGAACCUGGCCUGCAAAUUCCAUAUAAUCAUUCCUUUGUCUAUUUAUCGUUUGUUCUGAGCCCAAAUCAAGCUGAGAUCGAUCAUAUUCAUAUUCAACAUAUGUGCACUAAGCAUAGUAACCUCAAUUCCGAGGUUCAAGUAUUUAAACCCAUAAAAAUUCACAGAGGAAAUGACAAGGAAGAGCGUGAGCUCAAUAAACACUCUAACUCUUCGCUCUACCACGGUUAACAAACUUGGACACGUCACUAACCCUUAACUGAUUUAUAACAGAUUUUUGAAUAAAUAGAAUGUAAAUGAAUUAUCAUGUGCAAAAUAACAUUUGAAUUUGAGAUGCGCGCGGUGAUAAAGUCAGAUAAUAGUAAAAAUAAAAUAGUCAAGAAUAAUAAAUUUAUAUUUUUUAUAUUAAUAAUAUAUUUAUAUUUAUUUUUAAAAUAUAAUAUCAAUUUUUGGCUUACUAUAGUCAAGAAUAUAAUAGUAAAAAUAAAAUAAAAUAAAAUAAAAAUUACACAAAAAAUAAAUAAGCAUGUCGAAAUUGUAAAAAGAAGUCAACUAUUAUGUGAUCACUUAAGUUAUAGUUACGUAUGAAUCAAAUUUCUACUUUAAUUGAUCUUGCACAAUUUUAUGUUAUCCUUUCUUUAAUGAAAAGAAAAUACCAUACCGAAAAUCCCAAAAUAUAUCAGAAAAUUUUACUUUCCACAUCCUGACGGGAGAGUGUACCUGAGCAAAUCUUAAAUAGAGAGGAUUUUUGUAAGUAAAUGAAUUCCAAUGAAGUACUUUGCUUUAAGAGAACUUAAGCUAAUCAGGGAAGUAUAUUUAUUUUAAGGAAAAGCAGAGGAUUUUUAUGAGUAAAUGCCUCUUAAAUUGAAAGAAAACAAAAGGAUUCAAGAGCCUACCUUUCUUGAUGAGUCCUGCAGUGGAAUGAUCGAAUGUUGGAUCACGUUAAUGGCCGAAAGAAAAUCACAAGUGGAAAACUUCCUUUUGAUCACAAUAUAAAUGCCUUCUUUCUUCAAUGGAUUGUUCAAUGUUCUCUUUUUUUCAGCAUAUGGAUAAGAGAAGAAGUUGAAGAAGCAAUUGUUUUUUUUUGUGUUGUUGGGGGAAAAAAUGUGUACUCACAUUGAGUUCCAACUCAACAAGUACCGAAAAAACUGUACAUAAAUAAUCAAAUUAGCAAAGAAGAGAACAUAAUCUCCCUCUAAUAUUGACUGAGUGAGUGAUUAGGAACACUUAAUCUAUCACAUCCAAAAAAAAAAAAGAAAAAGAAAAAAAGAAACACUUAAUACAUAAUAAUACUUAAUACAUAAUAAUGUAAGACAAACAUUCAUGGGAAGCAAUGUUGGAAUACAAAACUGCGAGAAAACUUAAUGCUUUGAGCGUGUUGGACGCACUGAAAGAUGAUGAAAAUUUACCUUGCCAAAGAUAAUUCCUCUUUAUAAAGGAGAAAUGUUCCAGUCCGGAAUUUUAAAGUGCGGGAAAGUGCAGGAAAUCUUUAAAACUGCAUGGUUUUAAAGGCUUAAACUGUAAGCCUUUAAAACCGUGCGGUUUUAAAGCUUUCCCGGACUUUCCCGCACUUUAAAAUUCAUGACCAGAAAACUACUACUUUAUAAAGAUCUUUUCAAUUUUGUUUGUUUCAAAGAAAUCAACGAGAGGAUUUCAUGCUUUCUAAUUAAUUCCUCCAAUAAAUGUAAUAAUAUAUACAUUGUAACAUAAUUUCAAUACUUAGAAAAUAUUUUAAUAUUUUACAAUCUAUUAGAUAUAUUUUAUUAUAUAACAUAAAAUUUUAUAAUAAAUAGAAUCAUAAUAUUAAAACAAGUGUAUUAAAAUUUAAAUUAUUUUGAAUAUUAUGGAAAAUAAUAAUAACAUUAGUAUGUGAGACUUUGUUAUUGUAAAAUAUAUUUAAUGCAAAUAUUUAUUUAAAAUAUCUAAAAUAAAUAAAUAUAUUAUUAAAUAAAUAUAACAAUUUAUAUAUUUAAAUUUAUUAAAAUAUUAAGUUAUUUUAAUAUUCUUAGUCUAUUGCGUAGAUUACAUUAUUUAUGUAAUAUUUCUAUUUAUUAAAAAUUUUAAAUUCAAUUUUUUAAAUGACAUAAUGGUCAAAAAGGGGUCUUAGUGUCCCUUUUUUAAAAGUUGUGGGUGUUGGUGACAAUUUCUUCAAAUUUAGGGGUUUACAUGUCCCUUUUCCUUAAAAGAAAGAAUAAUUAAAAAAAAAUGGGUAAAAGCUCGUUUAGUCCCUAUAUUUUGAAGUUAAUGUCCGUUUAGUCCCUAUAUUUUUAAAAAUACUUCAAAGCAUCCCUAUCAUUAAAUUAUUGACAUUCUUGCCAUUAUCUUUUGUUCAUUUUGACUUAUUUUUACAAUAUUACCCUAUUACAAUAAUGUUCCUUUUUUUAAACAUUAUUAAAAAGAAAAAUUAAAUUAUCAGUUUAACACUAAAAAAUAAAAUAAAAACAAUAUAUACAUUAAUUUUUGUGGAACACUCUGCUGAGAAGUUAAAAUAUUAAUUUUUAAAAAAAAUUGAUAUCUUAAUUUUUUACAAAAUUAAAUUUUUUUGGACACACAUGAGCUUCCACAAAAAUUAAUAUAUAUCUUUUUUGUUUUUUAUUUUAUUUUUGGGUUUAAUUUGAUAAUCCAAUUUUUUUAUUUAUAUCUAAAAAAGAAACAUUACUGUAAGAGUGUAAAAUUGUAAAAGCAUGCUAAAAAAAUAAAAAAUAAUGGCAUAAGUGUCAAUAUUUAAUAGUAAGGACGUUUUGAGGUAUUCUUAAAAAUAUAGGGAUUAAAUGGGCACUAAACUCAUAAUAUAGGACCAAACAAGCUUUUACCCAAAAAAAAAGUCUAAUGAGAAUAUUAGAGGGGUGGCAAUAAUCCAACUCCGUGAAAAAGAAUCAACAAGAAAAUAAUAAAAGAUAUUUUUGAAAUUAACUCACGCAUCCGUUAAAGAUCAAGACAAGAACUUAAGUCUUAGAAAAGCUUAGCUGUGAAGCUAGACCUCAACUUCAUGUGAAAUUUAAAGUAAAUUUUCACAAAUAAAAAGUAAAUGAAAUACCAUAUGCAAAUUUAAAGAACAUAAAUUGAAAUUGGGAUGCGUACUCUCACUGUUACACCAGGCCUUACCCUUCAUUUGAGUUGUUUAAAUCUUUUAGGUGGUUGUUCGUCAUCAUCAUCACAGCAGGCAGCAGCCACUGCCACUGGCUUCAGCUGCCACUGCAUUUUCUGCAAGGCUUCGCUUUGAUGUUGUGGCUACUUCCAUUUUUGAUCCAACAAAAUUAUGAUGGGAUUCAUUCAUAUUUGAACGUCAUAGUGAAUGCUUAGGGACAUGAAAAACAAAGCAAAUAGCAUAUCCCACAACCUUCUUUGUAUUAUACAAAUAUGAAGGCCUUGUGACUGUUUUUGAAGAACCCUCAUUCUGAUACAUGAACCACUUUGGAAUUUCACUUCCUGGAACAACGAUGUGCAAACGAUGGCUUGGAUCUGACAUUGCCUGCAACAAAUGGGCUAUUUCACAGCCAAGCAAGAAAACAAAUGAAGAAAAUUAAUUGCUUUCCACUGGUUCAAGAACUGACACCAUUAUUGAUUGCUUCUCUAUUAGAAGAAAUGAUUUUGAAAAAAGCAGAGCAUCAUUAAAACAAACGUGAUGAUAUUUUUUCAGUCAAUAUUAAAUUAAUAUUUUAUUGAAUUUUCUACGUGAAAAAAAAAAAAUUGUGGCAAUAGAUGUAUCAUAAAGUUGCAGCAUAAUUGACUUUAUUGAUUAACUGGGAAAUCAUAAAGUUGAUUUUGUUGACUGUUUGAUUCUGAUUGCUUAGGAAAUCACAAAGUUACAGCAACAGAUGCAUCAUGUCGUUGCUCUCCAACAGGUUAAAAAUUUAUUUAGUCCUUAUAUUAUGAGGUUAGUGUUCAUUUAGUUCUUAUAUUUUUAAAAAUACCUCAAAACGUCCCUGAUGUUAAAUAUUGGCCCUCUUGCCAUUAUUUUUAUUAUUAUUUUAGCUUGUUUUUACAAUAUUACACUUAGUAAUAUUUCUUUUUUGGAUAUUAAUAAAAAAUUAAACUAUCAAAUUGAACCCAAAAAUAAAAUAAGACAAAAAAGAUAUCUAUUAAUUUUUGUUAAAGCUCACGUAUGUCCAAAAAAAUUAAUAUUGUAAAAAAUUAAAUUAUCAAUUUUUUAGAAAAAUUAAUAUUUUAACUCCUCAGCAAAGUGUUCUACAAAAAUUAAUGUAUUUUUUGUUUUUAUUUUAUUUUUUGUGCUAAACUAGUAAUUUAAUUUUUUUUAAUAAUGUCUAAAAAAAGAAACAUUAUUGUAAUAUGAUAAUAUUGUAAAAACAAGUAAAAAGGAACAAAAGGAAGUGGUAAGGGUGUCAAUAAUUUAAUAGAAAGGAUGCUUUGAUGUAUUUUUAAAAAUAUAGGGACUAAACGGACACUAACUUCAAAAUUUAGGUACUAAACAAGAUUUUACCCCUCUCCAACAUACCAGGUGGAUGCAUUCCUUCUUGGGUAUUUUAUCAAACAUGUUCUGGGCAUGCUCUUGACCUGCAAUUCUAUAUUAAAAGACGAACGAGGCCGGCCCUGGGUCAAUUGUUUUAAAGUUUUUUAUUUUGUGAUCAAUUACUUUUAAAUAAAUCCAAAAUAAAAAUUCAUUUUUUUAUUAUUUAGUCUAAUAAUAGCAAUCUGAUUUCCUCUCUGUAAUUUUUAUUUUAGGAUGCCAUCUAGUUGAGAUACUAUACUUAUUAUGUUGAAAACAAGAUAUUCGGAAUUCUAAAAUAAAAAUUACUUUUUUUUGUUUAUUUAUUCUAAUGUUAUGUUUGUACUUAUUUUAAAAUUUAAAAUCAAUUUUAAUAUUACUAUAAUUAAAAGGUAUAAUAGCCAAAAAAAGAUAUUAUAAUGGAAAAAGGAUAUCUACACCCCCAAAGUUUAGAGAAAUAAUCAUUGACAGCCACACAUUUUUAAAAUGGAACACCAAGACCAUCUUUUAACAAUAAUACCCUUUAACCUCUAUUAUCCAAAAAACAAUCAACUCUAAUGUUUUAUAAUAAAUAGAAAUAUAACAUUAAAAUAAAUGUAAUAAUGUAUAUGUUGUAAAUUAAUUUCAAUACUUCAAAAAUAUUUUAAUAUUUUGCAAUCUAUUAGAUAUAUUUUAGUAUAUAAAAUUAAAUUUUAUAAUAAAUAGAAUCAUAAUGUUAAAACAAGUGUAUUAAAAUUUAAAUUAUCUUGAAUAUUAUGUAAAAUAGUAAUAACAUUAGUAUGUGAGUUUUUUUAUUGUAAAAUAUAUUUAAUGCAAAUAUUUAUUUAAAAUAUCUAAAAUAAAUAAAUAAAUAUUAUUAAAUAAAUAUAACAAUUUAUAUAUUUAAAUGUAUUAAAAUAUUAAACUAUUUUAAUAUUCUUAGUCUAUUGCGUAGAUUACAUUAUUUAUAUAAUAUUUCUAUUUUUAAAUGGUCAAAAAGGGGUCUUGGUGUCUUUUUUUAAAAAAAGUUGGGGGUGUUGGUGAACAUUUCCUCAAAUCUGGGGGGUGUGGAUGUCGUUUUUCCUAUUAUAAUUGCUAUAUUAGAAUGAGAGAAAUAAAAAACCAACAAGUACAUAUUAAUGAUACGAAAGUUUUCAGAUUACAUAAUUCAAAUGAAUAUAUAGUUUAUCAAGAAAUCAAAAAUCCAAGUUGGAUUGCAAUUUCAAUUAGCUAAUAGCGAAACAUGAACAUAAUACUAAGCAUGAGUAUAAAAGGGCUUUGCUCUUUAUUAGAUUUCUUAAAUUCUUGUAGCAUGAGGUUCUUCAUCAUCAGUAAGGCUUCGCUCAAAAAGAAAAAAAGAAAAAAUCAAAACACAAACACAAUAUCUAGAGAUGUUUAGAGAGAAAAUUGCAAGCAACAGAAUGGGCAUCAUACAAUAUACCUCAUCGGUCAUCAGCUUAUUAUGGGUUUGUAAUAAUUUCCCGCCCUUUCUAACCGAUUUAACAGCUACAUGCUGACACUAAUGCUCUUCAAAACGACAGUAUUUUCAGGUCGUUUGAUCAUUAUGUAUAAGUGAGUGCACGUGACCAACGCGUGCACUCACUUACUAAGUUUAGACGACUUGAGCCAGACGUCGUACACGAGUCCUCUAGGAGUAAUCGAGAGAUCGUAUGCAAAGAAACAUCAAUUCAUACUAUCAUUUAUUAUUCAGCCCACAUUGCGUCUGGUCUGGGAAUUAGAUUCUGGUUCAUUCUUGAACAAUAGGCAUAAGUGGCAACUAUCACUUGGGAUUUCUCCUCCUUCCACUGGUAGAUUACAGUCACUGAGAUCCCAUUUUGUUAAAGAACAUAAGCCUGAUAGAGAAGGUAACAUCAAAUUAGUCAUGGGAUCUAAACUCCUUCACAUCAUAUUGGUAGGGAAGCACAAAUCCCAUGAUGUAGAUGAUAGUGGUCCACUGGUUUAAGAUUCUUCAAGAUAGAAACAGACGUCGGAAGUUGCCUAAUUGCUGUUCCACUAAUAUCAAGCUCUUCCAAGCUAUCUACUUUCCCCAAGUUCUCUGGCACAUUUUCAAGUGUGGAGCAGCCAGAGAGAUUCAGAAUUUUAAGAGAUUUCAAACCACUGAUGGGACUUAGAAGACACUCGAGAUUUUGCCAAUCUUUAAAAUUCAACACAACAAGGCCAGUUAGAUAUUCAACUGACAAUGGCAAUUCUCGAAUAGCAGUUCCAUCUAAAAUGAGCAUAGUUAGAGAUUUUAAACUUCCCCAAAACUUUUCCAGCUUCGAGCAACCAGAGAGCGUUAGAGUUCUUAAACAUUUUAAUCUACUUAUAGUAAUUGGAAGACUCAAGAGAUAUUUACAACCUUUUAAAUUUUGCAAAAAAUGCCAGAGAGAUAUUCAAUUGACAUUGGCAAUCCUCUUAUAGCGGUUCCCAACAAUCGAAGCGCCAACAGAUGUUCCAUACGUCCCAUGAUCUCUGGAAACAAUCUGAAUUUCAAAAGGCCAGAGAAAUUCAAAGUGGAAGGAAAUUUUAGAGCACUUAUGAAAUUUGGAAGACACUCAAUAUUUUUACAACCUUUCAAAUUCAACUAAACAAUUCCAGAUAAAAGUACAAUUGAUAAUAGUAGUCCCUUAAUAUCAGUUCCAUCCAAAAGAAGCUGCCGCAAAAACUUCAUAUUUCCCACAAUCUCUGGAAAUUUCUUCAACUUUGAGCAACCAGAAAGUACCAAUGUUUUUGGAGAUUUCAUAAAAAUUAACCUUAAGUUCUGAAAAGUCAUAUACCAUGCAUUCGACUACUUCAGUUCCUUACAAAUCAUAAAAGCAGAUGAUAAGUGCAGACUAGGAUGUGAAGAUGUCCAUAAAAUUAUUUAUGCAUAGAUUUAAAGCAUAGAAUGUCAAGCAAAACAAAUGUUUGAUAGAAUGAGCAAUAUGCUCAAUGAAAUGCCUCUAUGAGUCAAGCAUGUCAGAUGACUCAUAAGAGUGAUUCAGCAAGAGAUGAGAAUAAUUUGGAAUAGUCAUGAAGAUAAGAUCAAAGAUUGAAUUAAGCAAAUGUGGGCAGACCUUUCUCAGGGCACAAAGUCGUUUCCUUCGUAUCAAUGUAACGAUGACCAAAGGAUCUCCUUAAAAGCCUACAUUGUGAAAUUGAUAGCUUGGGCAAAGGAAAACAUUUUGUACGUGUAUCAUUAAAAAAAUGAAUAAAAUGUAGGCUGCAUUACAGAAUAUGUUUUACUUUGCAUUAUAUAAUGAUAGCAAUUUUAUACUUCAUUUCUUGACUUUUAGAAUCACGAACUCAAAAUACAUGCAUUGCACUUUGUCACUUACCCUUUUUUUUGUUAACACAUGAUGUACAUCUGUUAUGUUCCACAAUCUGCUGCUGUUGUUCAGCUAAUGUUCUUACAACAUUAGCUGAUUGGUUUACAACACUUUCGACAGCUACACAUAUCCUUUCCCUGGCUGAUUGGUUUUGAAGGCUUUCAUACAAAGAAGUCCAAGAGCUUCAUCAUAGUAUAGUUGCUUAAGGACCAACAAUUCGUCCACUCUAUGUGUUGUCAACGAUGCUUAUCUCUAGAUGUUAUGAUGAUCCUGCUGCCUGAACUUUCUAGCUAACCUUUUUGUGUCGUAGCCCACUUCGAAUUAUGUUGAUAACAUUAUAUACAUUCCAUUUUGUUAGGAAAUCUGACCUCUUUUUUCUGAGGUUUAUCUAACGUUGGCAAGAAAACUACUUACUUCAAAUUCAUGAUAGAUCAAGUUAUAAACAACCUUUGCAAGAGCUGCCUUACCUAUACCUCCGAUAUCACAGAUCCCUAUCAUACGAAUAUCAUUAGGCCCUUUAUCCAUUAGAAUCGUUAGCUUCUCCAAGUGUGAAUCCAUUCCUACUAGCUCUUUAAGAGUCUCUGAUUUUAAAGGAAUUUUGCUUGAUAUCUCAUUGACAAUCUCCAUAAUAAAGUCUGAUUCAUUCCUGCGGGUUGAGUAGAACAAGAAAAGAUUUGUGUUGGUGAGCUAAAGCUAGUGUGAGCGUAACGUAGUGUCAAAAAAUUAGAUAAUAUAGAUCUACAAAACGGAAGUGAUAAAGUCAUAACUUGUGUUUGAUUAAUCUCUAGGUUAUUCUUCAUGUAACUCUUCUCUAAUUUCGUCUAUAACUCUUCGUAUGUAGAUAUUCAUUGAUCAAGUUAUUAUUUCAAUUAAAUCCUAUGAUUUUAACAAAUUCUUAUACAUUUAUUCUAUUGUCUCUCCCUGUUCUUAUGCCUAAAACUUGAUAAAUUCUAGAAUCCCUCUGCUCUACCACAUCAUUCACCCAACAACAUAGUAUAAAAUCUUGUCAUGUAAAGUUUAUUGGAAAAUUGUAGGUAAGUUGGUUGUUUCAAUAACGAGAUGAAUAUGAACGCUAUUUUGGUAAAAUCUUAUUGUUGAUACAAAUAUGCACAUGCACAUGCACACACUGAACAUGAAACUAGUAAAUAAAUAUACUGAAUAAAUAUUGGCAGUUUUUUAAUAGUGGAGAAAUCCAGACAUCUUCUCACUUAUUAUGAUUCAUGCAGAACAAACAAAAAUUAGUUGAUCCACAUCUUAGAAAAUUAAUCAUUGAGAAUAAGAAUGAUUACCUAUCUUUCAAUUCCUAGCCAAAGAUAUUAGCCACCUCUUGCAGAGCGCCUCUCCAUUUUUGCACCUUUUCUAUAUUCUCCUUCAAGAACUUCUUCAUGAUUAGCAAUCGCUUCUUGAAAACUUCCUAUAUGUUUCCUUACCACUGUUGGUUCAACAUCAUAGAAAAUUGGAAAAACCAAUUGUUGGCGAACAUGACGUGUUCUUCCAUUCAACAAUCUUAACAAGUUCAUCCAAGCACCAAGUUGAAGAAGCACAGUUUCUUGAGAAGACAAUAACUGAAAUUCUUGAUUCUUCAAUUACUUUAGACAGUGUUGGUGAAAUGGAUAUUCCCCUUUCACGUUCUUUUUCAUCACUGAAUACAUUAAUUCCAGUUUUAUUCAAAGUGGACUAGAGGUGAUCUGAAAAGUUCUUGCAGUGCGGGUGUCUUGUCUUCACCUCUGAAGCUCAAGCAGACAUGGUAGUUCCUGGGAUGCUCAUGAUGCAAGCAAUUGACUCCACAACCUCUUAUUGCAAUAAGUAACUGGCUGUUAAAUAAUCGUACUUCAGCAAACGAAAAUAAAAUACCAGCAAGUAAAUUGAAACAGUGGAAAACACCCAGAGUAUACCAGUAAAGUGGCAACAGUUUUGGUUCUUGGCAACAAGAGAAAAAAAAAAUUCUCAUUCAACUGCUUUAAUUGAAUUUCUUAUGUGAAUAAAUUGUAGCAACAGAUGUAUCGUCUCAUUGUUCAACAUAUCAGGUGGGAUGCAUUCCUUCUUGGGCAUUUUAUCGAACAUAAUUUCUCAAAAAUUCCUUCCUUAAACUUAGCUUGCAAUUCCAUAUAAGGUGAGAUCGAUCAUCUACAUAUUUGUUUUUCAUCCUUCCAAUGCUUGAAUUUCUUCGAAAAUCCCUGCGAUAUAAUUUACUUGAUCUAGGUUGUUCUAACUUUUUUUCCUUUUUUUUUUUUGAUGAAUCCUCACCAAAGUGAGGAGGUUUUAUUAAAAUAAAAUAAAAAUAUAGCAAGAAAACCAGCCAAACUAAAAUUACAAAAGCUAGCUGAACAGAUAGCUAGGCAGCCUAAAAACAUCCUCAUGCAAAAGAGAAGCAACAUGAAGGGUGCAGAGUCCCACCAAGUAAAGGAAUCCACCAUGGCACCUAAAUUGCUCAAACAAUCAGCUACCCUAUCAGCCUCCCUGAAGACACGAGAAAAGCGCAACGUCAUGGAAUCCAUGAGAGCAAAACAAUUAUUCCAUCGAUGAAUAAGAAACCAUGGGUGGAAGCCGCUUGUUACAAAGAUGAAGCACAGUUAAAGCAGAUUCACAUUUGAUCCAUGACGUAGUCCAACAUUCAAAAGAAGCAUGCUCAAUCGCCAAGAUAACAGCAAACAGUUCAGCAACAAAAGCCGUUUCAACAUGUAAUGGACAAGAGAAAUCCCCCAGAAAUUCUCCCUCACAGUUUCUGAACACAGCCCCACAAGCGAAAACAUGCAAAGAACCUUCAGCGAUUUUUGACUAUAAACGUAAGCAGAUUUUUAAUUUUAAUAUACGCAUUAAUGAUUUAACUAAUUUUAUGUAUGUAUUUAUAUUUUUAAUUUUUUCUCAUUCCUUUUUAUGUAAGAGUGAGUUGAGGCUCGACCCCAAUUCGGCCUUUAAACUAAGACCUUGUUCCUUAUACAUGGGCCCAAAUGGGCUUGGGUCAUUUAUUUCAAGAGUAGCCUUUUGACAUCCCUUAAAAUUUCUUAUAAAACUCAUUUUCUAUUAAAACUACUUGAAUAACUAUAAAUAAAUAAUUUUUUUUAAAUUUUAAAUGGGAUUUCAAUUAAACACUUAAAUAAAUUAAGGUUUUAAUAAAUAAUUUACACCCACAUCAUUUCAUAAUUUAUAUCUAUAUUUAUGAGAAGAUAUUUAAUUUUAAUAAAUGAGUUUAUAUUUUAUAAAUUAAAUAAGAAGUAUUUUUGGAAAUAAAAUUCAAUAAGUGGUGUUGUCUAUUAUGUUUCAGAUAGAUCACCAAAACUAUUGGUGUGUUAAAACUUCACUUACUUUCAAAUCUUAUUGAAGACAAUAUGAAUUUGAUCCAACUUAAUGCUAGUUAAUAUGUUGGUUUAAUGCCUAUGUUGGGGGUGUCAAUGCCUUUGCAUUCAACCAUUUCAACUAUAGACAAUAGAUCUAUGCUGUAUUUUCUUUGUGAUAAAUAUACACAAUGUGCGUCUUGCAACACUUUAAUUCCAAGGAAAUAAGAUAAUAUUCCUAGGUCUUUUAAGGCAAAUGCUUUCCUAAACUGAAUUAUAAAACUUUUUAACUUUAUAGUACUUGGACUUGUAAUGAGUGUUUCUUCUUAUGAAAAGAGAGGUAUCCAAAUUAGUAUUAAUAAAACCCUAAUGGAAUAAACAGCUUUUUAGCUUAUCAAACUAAGCUCUAGGAACUUGUUUGAGUCUCUAUAGACAUUUGUACAAUUUGCACACAAACUCAGGUUUCUCAGCAUUAAUAAAGCCUUUCGGCUGACGCAUGAAUACUUCCCUAGUUAACUCUCCAUUAAAAAAGGCAUUGUUAACAUUAAUUGCCUUAUUUUCCAUUAGUUCAUCACUCCUAGGCUCAGUACCACUCUAAUAAUAGCUAAUUUAACCACUUGACUGAAUGUGUUAAAGUAAUUCACCCCUGCCACUUGCUAAAAUCCUUUAGCAAUAAGCCUGGAUUUAUACUUAGCUACAUUUCCAUCUUUGUUAUACUUGAUCCUUUACACCCAUUUAUUGUCAGCAACAUGAUGACCAGCUUGUCUUGGAAUUAAUGUCCAUGUAUUAUUCUUAACCAAAGCAUUAUAUUCUUCUUUCAUAGCUUGCAGCCCUCUGGAGUCAUCUAAUGCCUCUUGUACAUUAUCAGGUUCUUUAUGAAUGAGAGCAACAGUUGUUGUAUCUUUUUUUUUUGUUUUGUUUAUUCAAUAACAAAAAAACUGAUGUUAGAGCAUCUUCCAGGAAAUUAUAUACGAAAACGGAAACAUAAGUACAAUCAUAUUAUAUUCUUAAAUUAUGUCUACGAAUACAAAGUAAAUUAAAAUAAGAUUAGUGAAAUAAUAAAAAUGUAAAUAUUAAUGAUAGAUAAAAAAAAAUAGCAUAUGAUAGUAAUGCCUUACUAAACAAUAUUAUAGUAGAUGGCAAGUCUAGCUAUUUGAAGAGAACUUUAAAACCAUAGGCAUCUAAAAAAUUACCGAAAAUAAACUUUAUUAUACGCUAAUUAUUCCGUGCCAUUUUCCUGAGCACUUUUGUAUAUUUUAGAAAUGCAUACUUAAACAAUCUGAUCAAGUAUGAAAGCAUUUUCGAUUCAUGGAAGGUAACAACUUUGAAGAUGAUAUUUUGGUUUUGUGGUAAUUUAACAUAUAUGAAAUAAAAAUUGCCAACUGAAAUUGAUGAUGCAUGCUUACUGAAAUAUUCAGAGAAUAGUAAGCAGGCUUCUCCCUUUAUUUGAGUUUACUAAAUGGAUUCUUGAGGUUGUGGUUCCUGAUCACCUCAACAUAUGCAGUAAGGCUUCGCCUUGACGUUGUUGCUACAACCAUCUUUGAUGCAAAAAAAUUUGAGGGGAUGCAUUCAUAUUAUAAUUGGUAAAGCGAUUCCAUUGGAUUGUAGUUUUGUCAAACUCCUCCAUAUAAACUAGUGGAUAUCACACCUCUCACCUCCGAUCCUGGCAAGAACACACCCCUGAGAAGUUACAGAAUUUAUGAUUACAGUCCACAAAGCAUUUGUACUUUUCAUGGGAAUGAAUGGAAAAAAUAUUAUCUAUUUAUUACAGUCCACCGCAUGGUUUUAAAGUUUUUCCGGACUUUCCCACACUUUAAAAUUCUGGAUCAGAAAACUACCCUAUUUGGCAAUGACACAGUCCACAAAGCAUUUAUACUUUUCUUUGGCUACUAACACAUGAUAGAUUGAAAACGAAAACGAAGCUAAUGAGGAGGCAUAUUCCAAUAGGCAUUAUAUAUGAUCAUUAUGUUUUUUCGGUGAAGGAUAUGUUGCAUGUUCUUAGGGAUUGGAUCGUGGAAAAAAGACUUUGGAACCGAUUCCUCCCUGUGGCACAAUGCCAUCAAUUCUUUUCUCUUAAUCUAAAGGAAUUGACUUGUCAAAAUCUAUUGAGUAAAAGGCUGUUGGGUUCAAAUUUGAAGUGGAGUACUUUAUUUAGAGUACUUUGUUUGGAACUUUGCAAGUUCGUUAGUGAACAUCAAGCUUGCUUGGCAUUGUUAAAGUUUUGGAAAUAUGAUGGGUGACCUUCAAGUAGUUGGAAGAGUUAAAAAGCUCGACAAGAAAAAUUACAAUACGUGGGCAACAUUGAUGGAGUCUUGCUUACAAGGUCAAGAUCUCUAGGAGAUUGUUUGUGGUAACAAUAUGAGACCACUAACUGAGGAUGCCGCUUUAAAGAAGUGAAGCAUUAUAGCUGGAAGGCCAUGUUCGCCAUCAAGACUACAAUUGAAGAAGAAAUGCUGCAACACAUAAAAAAGGUUAAAAUACCUAAGAAAACUUGGGAUACUUCUACAAUGAGUUUUUCAAAGAAGAAUAACAUAUGGCUACAACUUUUGAAAAAUGAGCUACUAUCAAUUUUAUAAUGAAACAUGAUGAUUGACGAGUACUUAAACAAGUUAAAAUUCCGAUACCAUAAAAUUUCUAGGUUAGAUUCUACUGCUGUAAUUUCUAAAUUUAGAAUAAAGAGAAUUAUUGUCAAUGGUUUGAGGCUUAAGCUUAAGAGCUUUGUUACAACUAUCUAAGGUUGUCCAACUCAACCAACCAUUGAGAAUUUUGAAAACUUACUUACUGAUCAAGAAGUAAUUGACAAGCAAUUGAGUGGGGCCUUAGUAAUGGAUGAUGAGGAAAUGUUAUUUAUUGAUAACCCUACUAGAAAAAUGACUUUUACUAAUAUUAAGUUGCUGAUACUAAAUAAAAAAUAUCAAUAUUUGAUGACUUAAUUAACUUUUAGUGUGUUUUACAUAUUAAUGCCGGUGGUUAUUAAUAAUAUAGUAUCAUAAACUCUUACUGAUACUAAGAUAUAUAUUUUUAAUUUUAAUUUUAAUUUUUCUUAUUUCACACGACGUGGUUUUACUUUUAAAAUUAGGGUAUCUUAAAUUCUAACACUUGAGAAAUUUUUUGGCCUUAACGAAAGUACUAUUCCCUCUUCAUCUUGCCUCUCUCCCAAAUCCUUCCUACUCAUUUGAAGAAACCCUAAAUUGAAACAAAGCAAAUCACCCAGCCUUUUCAGUCUUAACAAAACAAUUACUCUCAGUCUCCCAACAAAGUAAAAUCAUCCUAGUUUUACUUUAUGAAGCGUAUGGGUCUUGAUUCUUCGGUCACCACCGAAGACAACCAAAGGAUAAAAAAAGUCAAACAAGAUGAGGAGGAAUAAGAAAGAGGAAGAGCAAGUCAAAGAAACUAGCUUCACAAAUCUAUAUGAGAACUCCCUGUUCGAGGUGUUGAAACACGCGGACACCAGGACUUCGUUGCAGGCGGCCUUGCGUCAACAAGCUAUGGCACAAGACACUCAAAAUGAGCACCUUUGGAAGUUAAUUUGCACCCACCACUUCGCUAACGUUGGGUGCGCUACCCAACAGCUCAGAUCUGUAGUCCUGGCUCUUGGUGGCUCCCGUCGCCUUCACUCCCUCUAUCUCGGUGGCUCCCGUCGCUUUCUCUCUCUGCCAUUCUUUCUCUCACAGUCGAAACCAAAACUCAAAUCCCUAACUCCCCAGCCACAAAACCUCUCAUUUGCCUCAAAACAAAACAAAAUCAAUCUGUACUCCUCUCUGAUUAUUCGAAAGUUAGAAGCACCUUCAAUAGUUCUCUCUGAAAAGCCAUUCACCUUAAAUAGUUCUUUCUAAUUUUCUCUUAAUUUCGACUGUGAUUUUAUUGUUUCUAUAGCUGUAGUUUGAUUAAUUUUGAUAAAUUUUGCUUGAUUUGAUGGAAAGCAUGAUUUAUUACAUGUCUGCUUGAGAUAAGCCGGUUAGUAAUUUUUUUAAAAAUAAUUAUAUGUAAUAUUUGUUUUGAUUCGCAUAUCGUAAACACGAUGUUAUUGUCUACUAACUAAUUAUAGACUUCGAUUUACAUUCACCUAAAUAGGAUAUGAUUAUGUAUCCUUUUUUUUUUUUUUGGCUGUUUGCUGAUUGUGUUAUUUAUAGUGUUGUUAUUGGCGGUUUAUAUGGUGAGUAGGGCAGUAUUUUAAUUGAAACAAUUAAAGAUAUGGGGAAUUAUUAGGUAGAAAGUGGCUGCAGGAGGAGGUUCUUCUAUUUCAGUGUGCCUAAAUAGUAUUCAUUUUGCCCCCUUUUUUUUUUUACUGCUGACUAUUGUUCCUUGUGAAUGCGUUUCUAAUCCAGAGACUUCGCCCUGUGGUAUCCACUUUGAGAAACUACUCAUCUGCAACUAAACAGGUAAUUGUGCCUUUUAUAACUUAUUACUUGUAAUGCACUGAUUUUGGCUGUAUGAUGAUUGUAUUCUUCUAUAUGUAUAGGCUUUUAUUAUUAUUAUUAGUGAAUCAGCUGAAUGCUUAAGAAAUUCUAAUACUAAUAGUUAUGUUCUUCAUUAUACUUACUAUGUAUGGAUUUUGAUGCAUUUUAAGAAGAAUAUGAAAUUAAAUAUUUGACUGUAGGGACAACAAAUAUGUUCGAGCUUUUAUUAGUAUAAUAGUAUGUGAAUUAAAAAUAUUAUAAUUUGAACAAACUCCGAAGCUUUGAAACUAUGCACUUUCAUGUUGCUAUUUGUGACAGUGGAUUUUGAUUGCUCUUUGUUAGCGACUCGCUUUUACUUGUUUGAUAAUGUUUAUAAUUCGUCCAUCUCAUUAUACUUGAAAGUUGGUGAUUCUAUGUAAUUUAUAAAUCCAACCGGUAUCUUUUUAUUUAAAUCGGUAGGCCAGAAGCAAAGCAAUCUUUUUAUGCAUUGGCUGUAUUAGUAAAUCACAUAGAUAAAAUCACAGGGUUUAUAUUGUUAUUUAUUUCUUUUCUGUUUGCAGGAAAAUUCCAAGGGAUUUGACAGAGGCAUCACUAUCUGGUGCAGGAUUAUCCAUAAUAGCAGCCCUUUCUAUGUUGUUUUUAUUUGGAAUGGUAGGUUGCCGCUUGCAUAGUUGUGCCUCUUUUGUCGGAUAUCAUGGGUGCAUUUUGCAUAUUCAGUGUAUAUUAUCGUCCACCUGGAUUGUUUGUGUAACAUGAUGCUUUCAUGGAGUUCUAUUUGGCUUUUCAUUGUUUCUAGAACAGAUUAAAUUUAACAAAAACUAUUCGCAAUUUUUCUAUAGGACCUGAUUUAAGACCCACUGGUUCUGAAUUCCACUCAAUGCUUGUUAUACAUUCGCUUAAGCAUGGAGAGGAAGCUGAUGAUGAUUCUGUUGAAGGUUCUCAUACGCUACCUGCCAAUAAUUUUGAUAGUUAUUCACACGAGUAAGUGAGCCUUCUCUGAACCACAACUUAUAAUUUUUAUUUUCAAUUCUGUGAUCACAAUAUUUCUCUGCUAUGUGGCAAUUGCAAUGAUGCCUUCUUUGAUUUGUAUUAUAUUUCCUUUCCAGGUAUCCUAUUUUAGCUGUCAAUUUUUAUGAUCCAUGGUGCUACUGGAGUAAAUGCCUGGUAUUUUUAUUUUCACCUUUUGUUUCUCAAAUUUUGUCUUGUUGCUUUUUGAUCAUUGUUGUCUAGAUUUACCUUAUUGGAUCUAUUCUUUCUCAUGUUUGUGUUGAUGUAAUUGCCAGAUAUAAUAUUUUAAAUUUAUUCACUUGGAUGUCAUGUUUGUGCCUGCUCAUAUGCACACAUUGCUCUGUUUGUCCACUGACAGUUGCACAUAAAUUCCUUCAUUACUUUGGUUAACUCCAUUGGUCUCUGUGUUUGUGUUGAACUUUCCAUGCCUGUUAUACAACCAAGCAUGGGUUUUCUUUUGUUUGUAUGACUGUAUUGUUAGACUUCCUCUCAUGAUGUUGUUAAUAAUUUCUCCUCUUUUUCUUGGACAACGGUUAAAAUAAUUUUUAUUGUUAAUAUAAUAUGCUUGUCUUGCAUGCAUUUAUAUGCCAUUAGGAAACUAUGUAGAUUUCAGCAUGUAAAUUUUAUCAGUUUUUUUAUUGUGCAUGUCUUGAAUGGUGCAGGAUGACUUACAAUAAACCAAAGCAUGUAUGUGGGUCAAAACUAAAUAAUCAGAGCAAAUGUCAAAUUGGAACAUGGAAACAAUAAUAAGCAUGUAUGUGUUGGAAGAUUGUGCUGUUACUAUAUAUCAGAUUAUAAAUUAUUUGUAGUUGGUAAACAAGGUAAUAAGUUUCAAACAAUGUAAUAAUUUUUAAAUUGUUCAUUGCAAUGUAAUAGUUUUCAUAUUGAUGAAUGUAAAUUUCAAUUCAAAUGCCAAUUGCAAAUGUUCAAUUUCUAUUAUAUGGAUUUCUAAUUUUUUUUAAUUUUUUCGCAAAUAAACAUUGAUACCAAAGUAUCGUUAUAUUUAUUAUGCUUUUGUAUCAUUAUUUGUUUGAUAACAUAGUCUCGUUAUAUAUGUGAUGUUCAAGCAUCAAUAUUUUUUUGAUACUACGGUGACAUAGAUUCGUUGAUACAAAAAACUCGUGUCAAUAAGUUUCUUGCACCGUAUUCAGUGACACUAAAUUCGGUGUAGUAAAACAAGUUCUUGAUACUAAAAUAGUAUCAAAGAAGGCUAUUUUUUUACUAGUGUAAAAAGAGACAUCGAUUCAGACAAUAUAGCGAUAAAGUAAUGUAGGAAGCAUAUUAGAUAAAAUAAAUUAGAAUUUAUUAGGAAUUAUAAUAUUUGGGUAUUUAGUAUUUUAUUAGAGUUUAUCUUAUUUUUUAAACUUAUUCGAUCAUGUUUGGAAUUUUAAUCUAAUUAGCAUUUUAAAUUAUUUAUUUUAUUUAUGAAGGAUUAAGAUUAAGUUGGCUACUUAGUAUAUAUAGGCUUCUUACUAAUAGUUCUUUAUAACAUACAUAAGCUUAUCAUCAAUAAUAUUUAAUAUUUCUUAAUUGAGAUAUUUUCUUCUUCAUAAGAGCCUUUUUUCUUGAAUUUUCAGAAACGUAUGUUAUAAUGAAAUUUAGUAUCGCUUCUGCGAUGCGUCAAGUGGUGUCAGAGUCUUUCUUUGUAUUAGGCAGAGCUUUCCUGACCAUCAACCAUUCCCCAUACACAAAUCCUCCCUCCAUCAUCCAUUGUUUUCAUUAAAAAAAAAAAAAAAGAAGAAGAAGAAGAAAAAGUUAGAAAAAUAGCAAAACCCGAAGCCACCUCACGUCCAUCGUCUGCAGCUGCUACCUCUGUCAUUCUUCACCUUUUUCAUGCUUUAAUAAAAUUUAACAUAAUGCUCACUAUUUUGUAUAUUAUUAAGGACCAUUGAAUGAUUAAUCAUGAAGUGUAUAUUAUUUUUCACAUCAAUUUAGCACAACCUAUACCAUGAAAUUAUGGAUUAUGUUACAGUGAAUACUUUUAUAUGGUAGGAAUAUAAGUUUAAGUUUUACAAGCCUAUUUUCAUUUAAUUUUCCAAUAUCACUUUGUUGAUUUCGUAAAGUUGAAAUUAACAUAAAUUCUUAAUUAGCUAUAUAGUUUAUGAAUCAUGAAAGAUUGUUUUGUUGAUAUUCAUUGAUUGUGGUUACAAAAUUUUAUGUCACUAAGAGGCUGAUUGCAUUUAUGAUGGUAAUUAAUAUAAUAAGUAAAUAUUAACUCCAAUAAUAUUCAUGAAAUAUUAUCUAUUUAUUUUAUAUUCUCGUUAUAAAAGCAUGGUUUUGGAUAUUUUAACUUAAAUUUUGACACAAAAAAUGAGCCAUUAAUCUCUCACAAUCUAAUGGUUAAUGUUAAAAGUCAAUCACCCUAAGAUUAAAUAAAUACUUUUAGGUUGAUCAAGUUCUUAACCAGCCAUAUGUUACUUUGACAUGGUCAAAAAUUUUUCUUGGUGUUUGUAUUUGCCAAGAUUACAUAAUACAUUUUCUUCUUGGCACAAGAAAUUUAAGCAUAUUUAUCUAGGCAGAAUCCAGAAGAAAUAUACUUAUAUUGAUUCUAUUAGUGACUCUCACAUAUUCAAAUAUGUAAAAAGAUAAGUAGUUAUAGCAAGAGAUUUUAUUUUAAUUGUUAAUCCUGACGUGAUAAUCAAAUCCAAUACCAAAUACUUUCAUUAAUUUUCUAUCUCUCUUAAAAUAUUUGAGUCCAAAAAUCCGCAAAAUGUUGAAUGUUAUUUACAAGUCUUAACAUAAUGUUUUUGAUCUGGCUAAUUAAUUAAGACUUAAGUGGUGGAGCAUUCAUUAUAAUUGAUCCAUGUUCUUCAACCGCAUCCACGUUAAAUUCAAAUAAUUUUUUUUAAAGAUCUAGGGAGUUUUGUUUUGUUAAGUUUGAAAAUAGUUAAAUAGUCAAUCUUAAGAUUUAUUUUUAAUACUAAUGUUAGACACUUACCUAGUAUCUUGAGUUUUUGAAUUAAAUGAUUUACUAAUUGACGAUAUUAGUGCUAAAGUUUCGUAUUUGAACUCUCCACAACAAGUUCAUUUGUAUCGAUUAAAUUAUGUUUCAAUUAUUUCUCAUUGGCAUGCAUCGAACUCUCUCAUGCUUGCUUUGUGUUAAUUUACGUUUUUUUUUUCUUCUAAUUCUGAAUCAUUUUUCAAGUCCAGUCCUUUUAUAUAUAUUUUCAAAAUUUUGUCCGAUCGCUCACCGCAUCUAUGUACGGCAUCUUUUGCAGGAAAAACAGAGUAAUAAAACAAAGCAGGAAAAACAGAGUAAUAAAACAUCUGUCCAACUGUUUGACCCAAGCCAGGCAUUUUCUGGUAAUUUAACAGGGAAAUAAGUAACAAGAACAGAUACAAUAAAUAAAUACAAAGAAAGUAAAUGAAAUGCGAUCUGCAGAGAAAAAUAAAAUUUGUGCCCUUCAUUCGAGUAGUCUAAAUCUUUUAGGUUGUGGUUCCUCCUCAUCAUUACAGCAGCCACUUCCACUAGCUUCAGCCGCCCCAACAUAUCCUUCAAGACUUCGCUUUAGAAAGCUUCGCUCAGACGACGUCGUUGAUCCUGCAUCAUCCCGGCAGCAACUUCCACUGGCUUCUACCCUGUCUAAGUCAUCAUUAAGGCUACGCGUAAAGGAUGUUGAUCCAGAACAAUCGUGACCGAAUUCGUUCAAUCUCCAAACCGGACCAAUUGUUUGGUUGAACUUAUCCCCUUGAUGCACAUAUAUUGGAUGCAAACCGCACCUCUUCAGCAUCAAUCCCGACGGCGAAGAAAAUUCCACUUUACAAAUAUUAUGGUAGUAUCGCCACACCUCUUCCCUAUUCAGGUAGUAUAGCCAAAGAUGGUCUGACACAGCCUGACUGAAUUGCUUUCCAAACAAAAUUCCAUAACUAUUCACGUCGGUAGGCCGGACACGCAGAUAAUGUACGGGAUAUGGAUACGGUCGUAUAUAAUAAGGAAGUGAAUAUUUAGGGGCAUGAAAAACACAGCACAUAGCAUAUCCCACAAGCUUACUAUUCUUAUACGUCUUUGGAGGCGUGCUUAUUGUUAUUGAAGAACCCUCAUUAUUCUGAUACUCGAACCACUCUGGGAUUUCACUUCCAGGAACAAUUAUGUUAAACAGAUAGUUCUGAAACCCCACAAAUACAUAUAUAUAUAUAUUAGAAAGCCAUACCAAUGCAUAAUUUUUAGGCAUGAUUUUAGCAACAGGUGAGAGAGUGUAAGAAAUUGACAUUACCUGUUUAAUGUACUUGUCCGACAGUGACAUAUUCUGCAACCCCACGGAAAAAAAAAAGUGAGUAAAUAAAUAAAAUAAAAAGACAUAACAUGUAUUGCAUCAGUUUUAGGCAUGAUGUAGCACAGGUGAGAGUGAGAGACUGACCUCAGAAUUUUUAAUGUACUCUUUCAGCAGUGAAAGCGCCAAAUCAUAGCUGCCAGUCAAUUUCGAGCAAUCCCCACAAUAAAGGUUUAACGACGGGAGUCGAUGCUCGUUUAAGUUUAAAUUUAAUACAUCUGAUAAUGUCUCCAACGAAACACAACCCCCUAACGAAAUCCGAUGUAUACUGGCUGGAAGUCGAGGCAGAUUUUGAAGCAUUUUGCAUUCCUCUAAUUCAAUCUCCCGAAGAUUAGAAAGACGGUAGAUGCUUGCCGGUAGCGAAACAAAACUGUUUCUACUCAAACAUAACGUUUCUAAUGAGCAUAAGUCGCCAAUACCACUUGGGAUUGCUCCUUCCCCUAGAUCACAGUAACUGAUAUCCAAUUUCGUUAAACUACACAAACCUGACAGAGAAGACGGCAAACUGAAAUCCAUCGGAUCUGAACUCCUUCGUAUCAAAUUGAUAGGAAAGCGCAGAAACCAUGAUGCAGAUGAUGGUGAUCCUUUGCACCCACGACAAGAUAGUUCUUUAAGAUUCUUCAUAAGAAAAAUCGACGAUGGAGGUUGCCUUAUAGCUGUACCACUUAUAUCAAGUUUUUCCAAACUUUCUACUUGCCCAAGCGUCUCAGGCACAUUUUCAAGUUUGAAGCAGCCUGAGAGAUUCAAAUUUCUGAGGGAUUUCAAACCAUUUAUACUGCUAGGAAGUCUCACGAGAGUUUUGCAGUCAUUCAAAUUCAACAAUCGAAGUUUGGUCAAAAGCUCUAUAGAUGAUGGCACUUCUGUGAUAGAAGUUCCGUCUAAAAAGAGCUCUGACAGAUCUACCACACUUAUCACAGUCUCUGGAAAUUUCACUAUUUUCGAGCAACCAGAUAGCACGAGCGUUUGUAGACAUUCUAAACUGCCUAUUGUAAUUGGAAGACUCGCGAGAUUUCUGCAAUCUUUCAAAUUCAAUGAAACAAGGCCAGACAUAAGUUCAAUUGAUACUGGCAGUUCUUUGAUAUCAGUUUCAUCCAAAAGAAGUUCCCGUAGACACUCCAUACUUCCCACAACGCGUGGAAGUUUCCUCAAUUUCAAGCAACCAGAAAGAACAAGUGUUUUAAGCGAUUUCAUAAAUAUCUCACCCGGAAGAGUUGUAAGACUUGUACAACCUUUCAAAUUCAACAAGAUCAGCUUAUUGUGACGUAGCAAAGACUGGUGAAUUUCACGCAACCUUGUACAUCCUUCAAGAUCCAACACCUCUAAGUUUGGGACCUUUGUGAAGUCUGGUGUCUUAAUCAGAUUCUCCGAAUGGCUGAGUUUCAAGACUCUCAACAUGUUUAAAGGCUGUUGAAAACAAAAAAAGGAGCUAAAAUGAUAUUUCUUAAUUCAUAUACUACUAUAAUAAUAAAUUGUUAUCAACAAUUAUUCACUGAAAAAUAUAAAUUAGUGACCAAAAAAAAAAUUGAUCUUACUUUGAUUCCCUUCCAUAAUUCUUCAAUGCGGCUGUAGCACAUUUUAAAUUUAACAGUUUUAUCCAAUUGCAAAUUUGAUGGCAAAGAUUUCAAAGGAUACCGAUGCCAAUCAAGUAAUCGCAACCUGUUCGAGAGGUAUUCUAGGCCUUCAGGAAGUUGCACAUUACUGAUUUUGAGCAAUCUUAGGUUGGUCAUCAGUGAAAAUGCUUUAGCACUUAAAUGCACAUCAUUUCCACGAAAGAAAUCAUCAUCAACCAUUAUUCCUACAACUACUUCACUUCCCUGAAAAUUAUAAAGAAAGUCGUUCGUUAGAAAUUUAACUAGCUAAAAGAAGUGAGCUGAGCUAGAAAUAAAUACUUUUAGAUCCCCUUUAUUAUUCACUUACUGUAUUUUGUGACAAUACAUGGUGUACAUCUGCUUCCUUCCACAAUCUACUGCGUUUUCCAGGCUCGUCGGGGGAUUGUCUCCUAACAAUUUGGUGACCCAUUUCUUGUAUCAAAUCAUGCAUCCACAAUCUGUUAUUCUCAUGUACUGUUAAUAAAGAUUUUUCUAUAAGAACUUCUAUUCCAACGACUGGGGAAAAACCACAUCCCUCUAGAAUUUUCAAUACAUAAUCUCUAGUCUUCCAUUUAAAGAAACAUGCAAUAUCGAGAAAUAUUUUCUUCUCUAAUUCUUGUAGUCCGUCAAAACUUAUUUGAAGUAUACUCAUAAUCUUAUUGGGAGGCUCUAUUUGUAGCCUUUCCAAGGUGCUUCUCCAUUGAUCCACGGAUCUACCAUUCAAAAAGGAACCCAAAACUUCGAGAGCUAAUGGAAGACCACCGACAUACCGUAGAACACCUUCUGACAGCUGCACACAUUCUUCAAGAGGCUUUUGGAUUUUAAAAGCUUUCAUGUUGAAAAGUUGAAGAGCAUCAUGGUAAUUUAGUUCAUUAGGCUUAUAUAUUUCAUCCAUUCCAUGUGUCUUUAAUAGAUGUUCAUCUCGCGAUGUUACAAUGAUCCUACUGCCUGAACCAAACCACUCACGCUUUCCAGCUAAAUACUCUAAUUGCUUUAUGUCAACCACAUCAUCAAUAACAAGAAGAACCUUUUUGUGUUGCAGCCUGCUUCCUAAAAUGUUGAUGCCAUCACCGACAUUCCAUAUGCUAUCUUUUUCGAGCUUCAAUAUUUCGAAAAGGAGUUGCCUUUGAAAAGAGAUUACACUGCCUUUGUUUUCAAAUUUUUCUCUAACAUCGGCAGAAAACUACUCCCUUCAAAUUCAUGAGAGAUCAAGUCAUAAACAACUCUUGCAAGAGUCGUCUUACCUAAACCUCCCAUACCACAAAUCCCUAUCAUACGAACAUCAUCAUUAGGCCCUUUGUUCAUAAGAGGACCUCAGUUCUUCAAGCGUGGAAUCUUAUCCCACUAGAUUCUUAANNNNNNNNNNNNNNNNNNNNNNNNNNNNNNNNNNNNNNNNNNNNNNNNNNNNNNNNNNNNNNNNNNNNNNNNNNNNNNNNNNNNNNNNNNNNNNNNNNNNNNNNNNNNNNNNNNNNNNNNNNNNNNNNNNNNNNNNNNNNNNNNNNNNNNNNNNNNNNNNNNNNNNNNNNNNNNNNNNNNNNNNNNNNNNNNNNNNNNNNNNNNNNNNNNNNNNNNNNNNNNNNNNNNNNNNNNNNNNNNNNNNNNNNNNNNNNNNNNNNNNNNNNNNNNNNNNNNNNNNNNNNNNNNNNNNNNNNNNNNNNNNNNNNNNNNNNNNNNNNNNNNNNNNNNNNNNNNNNNNNNNNNNNNNNNNNNNNNNNNNNNNNNNNNNNNNNNNNNNNNNNNNNNNNNNNNNNNNNNNNNNNNNNNNNNNNNNNNNNNNNNNNNNNNNNNNNNNNNNNNNNNNNNNNNNNNNNNNNNNNNNNNNNNNNNNNNNNNNNNNNNNNNNNNNNNNNNNNNNNNNNACAACAAAGAUCAGUAUGGUUAAAUUACAGUUAGCCUGAAUGCGGUAUUAAUAAAUUUAGUAAUAGAAAAAACCCAAAAUAUGCAAUAUUCGUUGGAAAAAAUUGAAGUAAUGUAAGAUGUUGUUACAUAUGGCUAAUCUUUAGGUGCGUUCAUGUAAAUAUCUGCAUCCAUUUGUACCACUUUUGUUUGCAAAUAUUCGUAUGUGGAGAUAUUGUUUCAAUUAGUGCACAUCAUAUCAUACAGGUAUUGAAUGAAAGUUGUUUAACUGACAACAGGAUGCUGAUUAAAGCUAUUUAAAAUGAUAUACAUAAUAAUAAGAAUGGGUACCUGUACUCUUUCAAUUCCCAGCCAGAAAUAUUAGCCACCUCUUUCAAAGCAUCUCUCCAAUUUUUCACUUUUUCUAGAUUCUCCUUAAAAGCUUCUUCAUGUUUAGAAAAAGCUUCUCGAAAACUUCCCAUUUGUUUCCUUACCACAGUGGGUUCAACAUCAUAGAAAACUGGAAAAACCAUUUGUUGAUGAUCGUUUUUGUUCUUGCAUUGAACAAUCUUAACAAGUUCAUCCAAGUACCAAGUGGAGGAAGCAUAGUUUUGAGAGAAAACAAUAAUUGAAAUUCUAGAAUCUUCAAUUGCCUUAAGAAGUCCAGGUGAAAUGGAUGCUCCUCUCUCAAGUUCUUUGUCAUCCUUGAAUAAAUAAAUUCCUUUUCCAUUCAAAGCAGCAUAGAGAUGACUUAUGAAGCUUUUACGGGUGUCUGCUCCUCUAAAGCUUAAGAAGGCAUCAUAUGGCCAAUGAGACACAUUUUGUAUGCUCGAUGAAGCCAUCACAAUAUUAAUUUGUUCUGAAAAUUUUGAAAAAAAAGCAAGAAAUGAUUGCCUAGGAACAAUACUAUGUAAACAACAGAAUUCAUCUAGAGUUAUGGAUUAUCUCAAAGUGUCAAAGUCGUAUACACUAGCGUAGGGAGUGUGUGGUGCACUACAUUAUAUCGCAGUACUAUGUUUUAGUGUAGUAUGUACAAUAGUGUUUAUUGAAAUAUUUUAUACUAAUAUUAUUAUCAAAAUUUAUUAUUUGACAAAUAAAAUUUAAAAAUUUAUUAAUAAAUAAUACUUAAUUAUAUUGCUUGAGCUUUAUUGCGUAGCAAUAUUACAUUAACCUUUAAAACAGUGCCAUAUUUAGUGCGGUAUAUGCGUGAUCUUGUUUAUCUAAAUUUUUUUAUAAUAUUAUUUUAUUAAAUUUAUUGGUUAAAUUCAUUAUUAAAAUAAAAAAUUCAUUAAUGAAGUAGUACUAUUUCUAUUUAAGUAAAUUAUAAAUGUGUUAGGUAAUAAAAUAAUUGAUUAAAAUUAUUUUUACAUAAUAAAAGUAAAAUAAUAAAAAUGAUUUUAUAUCAUAAAAGUAAAAAAGUACGCAAUUAUUUAUAUUAAAUUCAUAUUAUAUGGAUUUAUUUAUAUUUAAUUUUAUUAUUUGAUUUAAAUAUCUUAUUUAAAUUUAGGUAAAAUGACACUUAGAUGGCAUAUUUUGAAUAAGAAACACUAAAAUCCUCUUUUGACUAUGAUACCAUUUAGCUCUAAUAACUCAAAAAAAUUAAUUUCAAUGUUUUAUAAUUAAUAUAAAUAUGAUAUUAAAUAAAUGUAACAAUAUCUAUUAGAAACAUUUGUAAUAAAUAGAAUUAUAAUAUUAAAUCCCAAAAUUUUUUCAAGUGUCGAUUGGAGAGUGCGUACACCGAUCUCUACUUGAGAAAAUCUUGAUUAAAGCCUCUUAGAGAAGGCAAAGAGAUUGUGCCAAAUUAACAUUAAAAGAUUUCUUUCAAUUUACAGCUUGUACAAAAUUAACAUUAAAAAAAUUCUUUCAAUUUUAUCAUUAUUUAUUUGUUUUUAAACAUCAAGAUAUGCAAAUUAAUUAUGAAAGUAAAAGAGAGAGAUGUAUGAGAUAGAACUUACAGCUUUUGAGUGUAUUGCAGAAAGCCAUUUAAAUGAACUCCAAUGAAGUAUUUGAUUCAAAGAAUUUAAAUAUUUAAUCAUGCAAAUAUAUUCUUUUGGAAAAAAAAAUAAAGCAAUCAGCUAGUGUAUGUAUUUCCAAAAGCAAGUCUUGGUCAAAAAGUGACUUUCUUAAUAAUUAAUAGACAUUUGUCACUGUUUACUCACAUGCUGGAGUUACCAUAAAACUUCCUGGAAGCUUCGAGGAAACUGAGCGAAGAUUGUCUGGCUUUUCAAUUGAUGACGCGUCCAAGCCACUCUGCCCAUUAGCCACGUUGGAUUUCAUUAAAAUGGAAUGGAAUCCAACGGUUGACAUCAAUAAUUGAUAAAAAUAGUUAAAUUGCCGCAAUCUAUAGGAAUGGUAAAUCUUUUAUUAGAAACCUUUUAUUAGUAAAAUUUCAUCUGAGUCUUUAGGAGAUGUUGGAUCAAUUUAAUAAUUUGUAGUUUUACGAUAAUUGUCAUAAACUGUGUUGUAUAAAUAAUCAUUUGUAAAGGUAAUUAAUUAAACGUUUGAUAAAUUUACUUUUAAAAGUUCUGCAAAUUUUAAAAAUAAUCGUAUGUGUUUGAUAAAUUUUAUUUUAAAAUUGUGUUUGGUGUUUCAUCCAAACACCAAGUAGAAAAAGAGCAGUUCUUUUAGAGAAAAAUAAUCGAAAUUCUUCUUCAAUUGCUUUAAAAAUUUUCUGGGAAAAUGGAUCCUCCUUUCGCAAGUCUUGGUCCAAAAGCGACUGGUUACUCACACGAUGAAGGUCGCAUCAAACUUCCUGGAAGCUUCAAGGAAUCUGAACGAAAAUUAUCUGGUGUUUCAAUUGAUUACGAGUCUUCUCCACUCUACCCAUUAGCCAUGUUGAAACCAUUGUAUUCAACUAAAAUGGAAUGGAAUCCAACGGUUGAUAUCAAUAUUUAAUUAAAUAUCAAGAUACGGUUGAUAAAUCAUUUUACCUGAAUUUCCAAUUAAGUUUGUUUCAAAGAACUCAAUGCAAGGAUUUUUAUGCGUUCUAAGUAAUUUGUCAAACAACAAACAAGUUUAGUCUAAAAUGUGUGCCGACAGUAAUGACGAAGAAUGAUUUUGGUCUUUAGUGGAGAAAGACAUGGUCUAUCUGAUGUUGACAAAAGCUAGCUUUAAUAAUCUACACACCAAAAGCAAUGAUUUCUUUAUGUAUUUUAUUAAGGGCAUCUUCAAAUGUAAUUGCAUUUUUUAGGGAAAAAUGAGUAAAAUAUUUUUUGGAAUAAUUCCACUACAAUCUUUCAUUUUUUUUUAAUUAUAGUAUUUUCUCAUUAAAAUAAAUAAAGAUUGGAAAGUAAAGGUUGAAGGCUUGAAAUUUUUCUUUGAAGUUGCUUAAACCUUGGGAAGAAGGCCGUCCAUUUCCCUUAGAAAUAAUUGGUUUUAGGCAUCUUUUGGUUACAAGCCUCACAAGUUGUAAGUUAUUUUUCAGAUUUUUUAUACAAAGAAUUGGUCGAGGAGAGUCAAACUCAGAUAAAACUUGUUAAUGUAGUCCACGUCAGCCGCUUGAGCAUCUGAAUUUCCCGCCCAAACAAAAACUAAUAAACAUAACGAAUUUGAAUCAUCAUUCAACAAUGACAUAGCAACUUGUGAGGCUUGUAUUUUGAUCAUUUCUGUAUUUGUCAAUGCAUUAUUCAUCUACGACCAGGCUCUAAAAACAAGUAAAUGCUACAGUUGUAUGCAAUUGAUGAAUAUAGAUAAGCAAAUCUAAAAUUUUUUGAUAAUAUUACUUAUUAAGAUUACAAAUCCAUCCGCAAGGCAGCUGUAAAUAAUCAUAUAGCCUGACGUCUGAACUUUUUACAUGAUUAAUAAAGGAUAAGAGCAUAUUCAGAAAUUAAUUUCUACUUAAAUGUGUUGUAGUCAUGCAAAAUAGAGAAACCUUAUUAUAGUGAAUCUGUGUGUGUGUAUGGCACUGUGGCAGAAGUAAACAAAUAAUAAAAGCAUGAUAGCAUAAAGAAUUAAAGAUCAUGAUAUGUGCAUAUUAGAUUAUUAUAGAACGAACCUGCUCUCAAAACUGAUGAGUGACUGAGCAGGAAGAAAAGGCCACCUAGGAUGUGAAUUUGCUGUUAUUUGAUUUGACUUUUCGGCAUGGUUUUUGCCGUUUGAAUCAGCCUAUGGCGGCCAAGUGAGCAAGCUGAUGCUGCUGUCGUAGAUAGCUUGCUGCCCUUAUUUACAUUCAUCUUCCAUAUUACAGUAGAACAACAUUGAAAGGAAUGCACAUAGAAGUAAUACGGUAUUUCUUGUUUUAAAGGGAGAAAUUUACACUCGUCCACUUGUUUGUUUUGUCUUUUUCAAAAAUACACAAACACUUUUUUUUUCAGCGCGCCAUCUUAAGUUUGCUUUUUGUUGCAUUCGUCCACUUCCGUCUAAUUUCCGUUAGUGGAUUUAACAGAAUGUUAACAAAAUGACCUUUUUACCCCUCAAAAUUACAAUUUAACCCAAAAUAAAUAGAAAUUGGAGAUAAAUUAAAUGGAUUUAAUUUUU
rnacentral:lncRNA from 1 species